rnacentral:lncRNA from 1 species
UUUGGAGACCUUAGAAUGUGCUUAAUAACAUCACCUUCAAACCAAACACUUGAUCUUGUUCCCUCCUCUCCAUGAGUAUCUCUUGAUCAAUGGUGCUUGGCCUCAAGGUCUCUAGCUCAGACCAGAGAGAUCUGUACUUUCCCAAGUGUUUAGAGAACUCCUCCUCUUCUUGCGCAAGGUUGUUGAUGGCUCUCUUGAGCUCAAACACCCGGCUCAGAUUGGUUGUGUUGCCAAAAGUCUUCAAGAGUGUUUCCCAUAGGUGCUUAGGAGUCUCACAGUAGCUGUAGGCGUCUAAGAGAUGGACUUCAAGAGAGCCUUGUAGUACUGACAGCACCAUCAAUUCUUCUUGUAUCCAUUUCUUCUCGGCAGCCGCAACUUAAUCUCCUUCACCUUCACCUCCUUCUCCUUCUUUGGCCACUGGGCUUGGUGCCUCAUCCGUGAUGUGAAUCCACAACCCUAGCCUCCCAAUGGCUGUCUUCACCAGCCUCGACCACAACAGGUAGUUUCCACUACCCUUUAGAUAUGAUUUUUAAAGAGAUCUCUACUCUGUUGAGAUGAGUUGAGACAUUUGAGGUAAAGACACAAAGGAGUUGAGAACAUAAAGAGAGCAAAGGGGUUAAGAGGAGGAAUGGGUUGAUAGGGAUGGUACGGACGGAGAGGCCGUACCAGGCCGUACAAGUGAUCAUCCGUACAAGGUAAAAGAGGCCAAGUAACUAUCCGAAGUAACUUCUAUGUACUGAGCUUAAGUUACACUCGGCCAAGGCCUUAUCCGAACGUUGGGAGGAUAAGGGAGACGCGGCUUGACAGUUAGGACAGGCUGGCAAGAGCUGGAAAGGAAGAGCAUCUAGUCUUGGAUCAAGAAGAUGCUCCAAACGUGUGAAGACACUCAUUGGCCGAUUCAAAUUAAAGCUUAGGCUCCUCUUUGAAUCUAAAUGCUUACUUAUCUUUAUGAGUUCGAAAACCCUAAGUGUAUGGACCUAUAUAUAUGUAAUCUCAUCCCUUAAUAAAUAUUAGACAGUUCUAAAAAAAUCAGUCUCUUAAUCUCUUAUUCUCCUUCUCUAAUCCUUUCUAAACUCAGAUUAUUCUUUACAUUCCUAAAUCUCAUAAAGGGCAUGGAGUAAGGAUAGCGAGUCUGAGCACUUAAGUGACACGAUGAGUGUGAUCUUGACGAGAAUCAAGGAUAUACUUCAGCAGAUGGUUAUAGGAGAGUGUUCAUACUCAGCUUACUUGGGAGAAUCAGUAGAAGAUGGUGUAUCUCAAGUUGUUUUGUGUGUGUCUUGGUGAUCCGUGGGAGGUUCAUUUGAAGACUCAAGAGUGAAUCUGUGUUCUAGAGAGCAGCGUGGGUUCUCAGUACAAGAUCUAACCGGUUGUUCAAGCUAUAGACGUCAAGCUGUUCAAGAUGGAGAGUGGUAUGAAGACGAAGGUCGCGGUGACAUUCAAAGGAAGCAACUACCUAGUCUGGUCUAGGAUGGUGAAGACUGCUGUGGGAAGCAAGGGUUUGUGGAAGCAUAUCACAUCUGGUGAGGCUCCAAUGGCGAUUACUCAAGAGGGUGACAAGGAGAGCCCCGCGGAGAGUGUUGUAGAGAAGUGGCACCAAGAAGACAUGAUGGUGAUGUCAGUCCUUCAUGCUUCUUUGGAGCCGGCUAUCUUAGAUGCUUAUAGCUACUGUGAGACAGCCAAGGAGCUGUGGGAUACUCUGAAGAAAGUGUAUGGAAACACUUCCAACCUGAACCGAGUGUUUGAAGUCAAGAAGGCAAUCAAUGGGUUAACUCAAGAUGAUAUGGAGUUCACUAAGCACUUGGGGAGUUUCAAGUCUCUUUGGUCUGAGUUGGAGAUGCUGAGGCCAAGAACGGUUGAUCCAGAACUUCUAAAUGAGAGGCGUGAGCAGGAUAAGGUCUUUGGGUUGCUGCUCAGACUGAAUGCGAGUUACAAUGGUCUCAUCCAGCACAUGCUAAGGUCCGAGAAGCUACCUGAUCUUGAGGAUGUGUGUGCUCAGAUACAGAAGGAGCAUGGCUCAAUGGGCUUGUUUGGAAGCAAGGGAGACUUAUCUCUAGCAAAUGCUGCGCAAUCUGACCGAGAAGAGACUCCACAAGCCAACAAAGCUGGUUACAACAAGUAUGAGGAUAGGAAGUUCAAUGGGAAUUGUGAUCAUUGCAAGAAGGAUGGACACAAGAAGAGUCAGUGCUGGAUACUGCAUCCCCACUUGAAGCCGGCUAAGUUCAUGAAGGAGAGAGAGGCAAGAGCUCACAUGACUGAAGGAUCAAGCGGAGCAGGGCCAUCUAACCGAGGAACGGAAGUGGAGAACCGUGAAGGAGAUGGAAAGGCUUUGGUGACCUAUACUGGAGCUAUCAACCCUUGAGGCAAUGAUCAAGACUUCAUCAGGAGAUCCGAGAUGGAUGCACUCAUCAAAAUGCUGAAGGAUAAUGGUAACAUUCAUGGGUAUUCAUUUGGUGCAUCUAUGAUUGCUAGAACUUUAGAAAUGACUCCUAAUGUGGCUGAGAUUGCUAGGAUUGAUAGUAAGACUGGAAUUGAGCAUUGCAUUGAUAGAAAUGCUACGAUGAAUGCAUAUAGAUCACCAAUUAGUAUCUGCCAUAGUGCUAGCAAUACAUCCAAACCAUUGAUUAUAGAUUCUGGUGCAUCUCAUCAUAUGAUUAGUGACACCAACCUGAUUAAAGAUAUAGAACCUACUAAUGGAUGUGUGAUGAUUGCAAAUGGAGAUAAGAUACCUAUUAAAGGAAUAGGAAAUCUAAAACUAUUUGAUAAAAACACUAGAGCAUUCUAUAUACCUGAAUUCACUUCAAAUUUGCUUUCAGUUAAGAAGUGCACUACUGAUUGGAAAAGAAGUUACAAAGGGAGACUUAUACAUGCUUGAGAAGCUUGAUCCUGUUUCCAAUUAUAACUGCUCAUUUACUUCUGCUUCUAGUUUGAAUAAAAAUGCAUUGUGGCAUGCUAGAUUAGGACAUCCCCAUGAGAGGGCUUUAAACUUGAUGUUACCAGGUGUUGUUUUUGAAAAUAAUAAGUGUGAAGCUUGCAUCUUAGGCAAGCAUUGUAAGAAUGUGUUUCCAAGAACAUCUACUGUUUAUGAGAAUUGUUUUGAUUUGAUUCAUACUGAUGUGUGGACUGCACCUAGCUUGUCUAGAGAUAAUCAUAAGUACUUUGUCACAUUCAUUGAUGAAAAAUCUAAAUACACAUGGUUAACACUCAUUCCAUCAAAAGAUAGGGUGAUAGAUGCAUUUAAGAACUUUCAAGCUUAUGUGACUAACCAUUAUCAUGCUAAGAUUUAAAUUUUGAGAUCAGAUAAUGGAGGAGAGAGUACACAAGCUAUGCCUUCAAAAGCCAUCUAGAUCAUCAUGGAAUCCUUCAUCAAACAAGCUGCCCCUACACGCCACAACAGAAUGGUGUGGCUGAGAGGAAGAACAUACACUUGAUGGAGGUGGCUCGGUCCCUAAUGUUCCAAGCCAAUGUACCUAAAAGAUUUUGGAGUGAUGCUGUAUCCACUGCUUGUUACCUAAUCAACCGGAUGCCUACAAAGGUGUUGAAGGAUCAAGCACCAUUUGAAGUUCUGAACAAGCGCAAGCCAUCCUUGGAAUACAUGAGAGUGUUUGGAUGUUUAUGCUAUGUUCUAGUACCAGGAGAGUUGAGGAACAAGCUUGAAGCAAGAAGCAGAAAAGCAAUGUUCAUUGGUUACUCAACAACUCAAAAGGGAUACAAGUGUUAUGAUCCAGAAGCUAGAAGGGUACUUGUAUCUAGAGAUGUGAAGUUUAUUGAAGAAAGAGGGUACUAUGAAGAAAAGAAUCAAGAAGAAUUGAAGGAUCUCACAUCAGAUAGGGCUGGAGUCUUGAGGAUUAUUCCGGAAGGUUUAGGCAUCAGAAUGAACCAAGAUCAACAUGCGAGUGGUGGAGGUCAAGGAUAGAGCUCAACUGAACCAAGUAGAGCUGCUCAAACACCUCACCUUGAUCAUGAGGGGGGAAGUGAACCUGAAACUCAAGAAAAUGGCCAAGAAGGAGUCGGCUUGAGUGAAGAAGGAGAAGAGUUCAACUCAGGUUCUCAUCAUCAAGGUGAGCAAGACCAAGGAGAUGAAGAACAUCAGAGUGAAGCACAAGAAACGCAUACACAAGCUGAGCCGGUUCAAGAGCAAGAACAACCAGUAUUGAGGAGAAGCACAAGGUUGAGAAAGAAUCCUUCCUCUUGGGUAAACACGCGAGUGUGCUACAAUGCCCAAGCUGUGGAGCAUCCUUCUCAAGCUGUGUGUUCCUUUGCUCAAUACCCUGAAGAACAUUGUGCCUUCAUGGUUAACUUGGAUGAGAACUACAUUCCAAGAAGCUAUGAAGAAGCAAUCAUGGAUAAAGAAUGGAAGGAGUCAGUUGGAGCUGAGGCAGGAGCUAUGAUCAAGAAUGAUACAUGGUAUGAGAGUGAGUUACCAAAAGGGAAGAAGGCUGUGACUAGUAGAUGGAUAUUCACAAUCAAGUAUAAGGCUGAUGGAAAGAUUGAGAGGAAGAAGUCAAGGCUAGUUGCAAGAGGUUUCACUCAAACUUAUGGAGAAGAUUACAUAGAAACUUUUGCACCAGUAGCUAAACUACACACAAUCCGGAUUGUAUUAAGCUUGGCUCUGAAUCUUGGAUGGGGGUUAUGGCAAAUGGAUGCGAAGAAUGCAUUCCUACAAGGUGAACUUGAGGAUGAAGUAUAUAUGCAUCCACCUCCAGGCCUUGAACACUUAGUGAAGAGAGGGAAUGUGUUGAGAUUGAAGAAAGCUAUCUAUGGGCUGAAGCAAUCACCAAGAGCUUGGUACAACAAGCUGAGCACUACUCUCAAUGGCCGAGGCUUCAAGAAGUCUGAACUAGAUCACACUCCCUUCACACUCAUGACUCCCUCAGGUAUGAUUGCACUCCUUGUGCAUGUUGAUGAUAUCAUUAUCACAGGAAGUGAUAAGGAAGGUAUCAUAGCAACCAAGGAGUUCCUUAAAUCCAUGUUUGAGAUUAAAGACUUGGGAGAAAUGAAAUACUUUCUUGGAAUUGAGAUAUGUAGAUCCAAGGAAGGUUUGUUUAUGUCCCAAAGGAAGUAUACACUUGAUCUUUUGAAAGAUGCAGGUGCUUAUGGAGGCAAGACAGCAAGAAUGCCUAUGGAGGAUGGCUACAAAGUCCCACGAGAGGGGGAGAUUGAAGACAACAAAUCUUAUCAGGAUCCUAAACUCUAUAGAAAACUAGUUGGCAAAUUGAUUUAUCUAACCAUAACUAGACCUGACAUUUGUUUUGCUGUGAAUCAGGUGAGUCAACACAUGCAAGUGCCUAAGGAGCAUCAUUGGCGCAUGGUGGAGAGGAUCUUGAUGUAUCUCAACGGCUCACCUGAUCAAGGAGUAUGGAUGGGUUGCAAUGGGAGCACUGAAGUGGUUGGGUACUGUGAUGCGGAUUGGGCUGGUGAUAGAGCAGACAGGAGAUCAACCACAGGAUAUUGCACAUUCAUUGGGGGCAACUUGGUGACUUGGAAGAGUAAGAAACAGAAGGUGGUGUCUUGCUCAAGUGCAGAAGCUGAGUAUAGAGCUAUGCUGAAGCUUGCCAACGAGCUGGUAUGGAUCAAAGGCAUCUUGAAGCACUUGGAGAUUGAUCAAGCCACGCCAAUGACUAUGCAUUGUGAUAACCAAGCCGCGAUCCACAUAGCCUCCAACUCGGUGUUCCAUGAAAGAACCAAGCACAUUGAAGUUGACUGUCACAAGGUGAGGCAGAUGAUUAUCGUAGGAGUCAUCCUGCCAUGCUACACUAGGAGUGAAGAUCAGUUGGCUGAUGUGUUCACUAAGGCUGCGAGACAAAAGACUAUGGAGUCCAUUCACAUUAGAUUGGGACUCAUAGAUCUUGGGAAAAGAAGGAGCUGAUCCCCUAAGUCAUGAGGUCUUUACUCUUUUUCCCUCAUCAAAGUUUUGUCCCAAUGGGUUUUCUUUGGUGAGGUUUUUAAUGAGGAAGAUCUCAUGGCUGUCCAAGUUUAGGCUUUCACAAAGCUAAACUUGAGGGGGAGUGUUGAGAUGAGGAGUUGAUAUGAAGGCUUAGAGAGGCUUGGGUAAUGAAAGGGAUGAGGAGAUGAAGCUCAGGUUGAAGUGAGAGACGCAUUGGGAGAAUGGUACGGACGGUACAAACCGUACGGAUCAGUUCAACCAAGAUCACUUGGGUCUCGACCUUUCUUCACAUUCUGAAGUGGUGCAAACUUAGGGUGAAGUGUACGGAGUUACCAUGUCCGUACCAUCUGAAGUUACCACGGUAAAUAGGAGGUUGAACAACAAGAAGGAGGGAAAGGCCAAAGACACUUAUGCAAAGGGAAGGUCACGACCAAAGAAAGGAGAUGACCGUUUAUGGAUAAGAGGAGGCGCGGCUUUACACCUGGGACAGGCUGUAAAGGUGUUUGGCAUCUGAUCCAAGAUGGCAAAGGGAUCAAACGUGUGAUGGCCCCUAUUGGACGGAUUCAAAACCGGCCAGCUCUUACCAUUUGACUUCACAUGCUUAAGCUACCUUAACCCAUUUCGAAAACCCUAUGUCCUCUAAGUAUAAAUAUGUAAUCUCCUCAUUAAUAAGAGAUCAGACAGUUCUAUCCAAUUGAUUACUCUACUUGUUCCAUAAUGAUUCCUUAUUAGUCAUCUAAUCACAUAAUCAUCUCCUUAUUCAUCCUAAAUCAUUCUACUCUUUUUGACUUGUGGCUGCCUUAUACUGAACCAUUAGAUUCAUGUCUAAAUUGCUGAGUAAAGGAGCUUUAAAAGAAAAAGAAAAAUGCUUGAGUAGCUUGUAUUGAAUAUGUUAUGAUCAUGCUUGUGCUUAGAGAGUUUGCUUGCAAAGAUUAGAACUUGAAACUGUCUUGUUUAAUCUGUUGCAAUGCUUGUGAUAUUGGGAAUCAAACUUGAUGAUUAAUCAAGGAUUGAUCCCAAUACUAUUGUGUCUUAUCUUUGCUGGAUUUUGAGUGGAGAGACCAAGAUCUGUCUAAAGAAGAGUACAAGAAGUGUUGAUGAUGAGCAAGAGGAGUGGGUUCUAUCUUGCAUCAAAUGAGGGCCAUGAUCCAGAGUCUUUGUGUCCCUUACAUUGCUGGUAAGGCACAAAGACUCACUGGCCAAUCCCUAGACCUUGGAGGCUUUACUCUUUUUCCCUCAUCAAGGUUUUGUCCCAAAGGGUUUUCCUUGGUGAGGUUUUUAAUGAGGAAGUUCUUCAAGGUUCCAAGCUUGACUUAGGAUCAGCUAGAGUCAAGCUUGAGGGGGAGUGUUGACUAGAAGAAAAGAAAUGGAGUGGUGAAGUGUUGAGUUGAGAUUGAGUCUUGAGCAAGAAUAGGGCAAGACCUCCGGAGAUUAUCUAUGAAGACUUUAGGAGUGUUUAAAGGUGUCCAGAAGUGCUCAUAUGGCUGUGCAAAGAUAGGGCCAAGUCCAGGAGGGACUUAGAAGAGUGUUUGGGAGCAAAUGGGCAAGUGUGCAUACUUAGGGCGAGGCAGCACGGAUGGUACGGACCUGUACGGAUCCGUACGGACCGAGACAACCCGAGGAUACACAACUUGGCCAUUUGAGAUGUUUUGAGGUGGUGCAAAGUCCGGGACAAGAUGUGCAAACUUAGGGCGUGAUCAGAACAUGUCCGGGAGACUUUGUGCAUACUUAGGGCUAAUAAAAAGAAGUCUGGUCGUGAAGCAUCAAAAGGAAAUCAAGAAGAUCCUUUGUGGAGGCAAGCGGCCAAUGAGAGCAAAGAUGGAGCUGAUUGGUUACUUUGGAGGAUGGACAGGUUGGCCUUGGCUGUAAAGCCAAAGGGGGGCACGACCAUGAACAUGGUCUGAAUGAAGGCUUGAUACAUGGGAGCCUAUAAGGAGCCAAUGAGAGAACAUCCUUCCCUUUGACCAGUUUGAAUCAGCAAUCAUCAGCCCUCAGCCAAUCACAAGACAUCACACAGAUUGCAAUACCAAGCUCUCAUCUACACCAUCCAUUCUCUCAAGUUAAUAUUAUCCAUUAGAUUUAGGUUUCAGAUUGUGCAAACCUAUUAAGCUUAUAAAUAAGCUUGUAAGAGGCGAUUUUGAGCCUUAAGGGAGUUUGGGGGAUUUCCCCUCUCCACUUCAUAAUGAAAUGUGUUCUUGAAUCAGAUUCCCUUUAAACUCUCCCUUUCUUAUACUCUUAAUCUCUCAAAGUCUCUUGUUUCUGAUUUAAGUAAACACAUAAACACUCUUAUAAAACUCUCUCUCUAAAAUCACCUAAAACAAACUCUAAUCUUCUCAUCUUGCUCCAUUGGAGCUUAUACACACACACAACCUGAGAUCUCUGAAAAUCUCACAGUGGCGUGUCUAUUCAAGAGAGUGUUCAAACUAAGACAGAGCACUCUUGGCUGUGUGAAGAAGAAGGCUACUCUAUCAAUGUGGCUUCAAGUGUUGAGGUAUCUGGUUGAAGCUUCCGCAAACCUCAGAGCUCACUCCCAUGUCCAUUACAACCAAGAAGAAGCUGUCUGUUCAAUCCGGCUGUUCAACACCUCAAGAGGCAGGCGUGUUCAUCAUGGAGUCCAGAAGCUGUCUGGUGCUGUUCCUCAUCAUCCCAUGUCGCCCUUGAAGAAAGAAGAUCCAAGGAAACAAAGGCAAUGGAGUGGAUUAGCUACCCUCUCUAGCAAAGCCAGUUCCUGGUUCUUGCUAUUCAAAGUCCAAGAAGAAGUUUCUCAAGAAGAAAGCUUGCUGCUUGUACUGGUGUGGCGUGUACAACAUGGAGAAAGGUGGGAGCUAAGACAUGGUGGUUCAAAAGGAAAGGUCCAUGGAAGAUGGAGGCGUUGGAGUGCACACUAACAACUCAGAAUCUGUCCAAUGGAAUCAAGGAUCUAUACAAAGGUCCUUGGCUGUAAGAAAGUUCUUUUCUUUUGUAUAAAGCUUGAGUAUAUUGACAGGUUGUGUUGUGGUGUUGUGAUUGAACAACCUGAGGAUGUGUUAAGAUUGCUAAAUAAACAAUUGUUUAGAAUCUGUCCCAGGAUACUUAUUGAGUUGUGUUUGGUGACUGAGAGUUGUUGCUUGCAUACUGGUUCAUAAUGAUUGUCUUUUAGGAUGAUAGUAGUAAUGUCUAAACCUGAUUGCUUUCAUGAAAUGAAACCAAGUUUAAAUGUGAAGCAUUGAGUGUUGUUGCUGCCUUGUAUUGAUGCAUUGGAUUCAUGUCUAAGUUGCAGAUUAAGGAGCAUUAAAAUUGCCUAAGUAGCUUGUCUUGAAUCUUGAAGGGAUCUUGCUUGUGCUUAGAGAGUUUGCUUGCAAAGAUUAGAACUUGAAAAUGUCUAGUUUAAUCUGUUGCAUUGCUUAAAGACAUUGGUGUUCAAACUUGAUGAUGCAUCAAGGGUUGACCCAAUGCACUUGUGUCUUAUCUUUGCUGGAGUUUGAGUGAUGUUUCAGGUUCACAAGAGGUGUUCUUGGUUCACCAUCCAUCCGAGUUGAAAGAGGAAGACUGUGCCCAUUGUGUGGAGCAAUGGAGAGUUGAGAAAGAAGUGGUGAUGCGCCACUGGUGUGUAGUUUCACUGAAGCUCACUUGCAAGCUUGGACCUAUACUCAAUCCAAGCUUGAGGAGGGGAGUUUAGUGAGCUAUCAGUCGGACCAAGAAGGUUCAGAUGGUCCAUUGCAAGCAACUGAAGAAGAAGGAGCCAUCCGGGUCUAGGCAGUGGCGUGUCUAGGCAAGAGAGUGUUCAGAGCACUCUUGGCUGUGAGAAGAUGAAGACUCUAUCAGUGCGGCUUCUAGUGUGAGGUGACUGAAGAGGUAGCUGAAGCUUCCACAAGCACUCCAUGAAGAUGGCGAGUUCAGAAGGUGUUGCAAUGGAGUAAUGGUACAGAUCAUGAAGCUAUCCAUCCAAGCUUGUUCCUGUGAGAGUCUCAAGCUUGAGGGGGAGUGUUGAAGCUUCCAUGAUCUGAGAGUACUUGGUGGUUAUUCAAGAAGAGGAGCAGAUCAGUUAUGAAGCAUAAUGAAGGAUAAAGAAGCAAUCACCAAUGCGGCCUCUAGAGUGAGGUGAUUGGUACUACAGUCUGAAACAUCCUGUCAUGAAGGUUUCAGUAACAUGGUGGUGACUCAUGAAGAAGAAGCAGCCAAGAAUCAGCUUGUAUCUAUCAAGGAAGAUCUGGUAGUCCGAGCACUUGAUCACACCAAGAAGGUUGUGAGAAAGGGGGAGAGACCAAGAUCUGUCUAAAGAAGAGUACAAGAAGUGUUGAUGAUGAGCAAGAGGAGUGGGUUCUAUCUUGCAUCAAAUGAGGGCCAUGAUCCAGAGUCUUUGUGUCCCUUACAUUGCUGGUAAGGCACAAAGACUCACUGGCCAAUCCCUAGACCUUGGAGGCUUUACUCUUUUUCCCUCAUCAAGGUUUUGUCCCAAAGGGUUUUCCUUGGUGAGGUUUUUAAUGAGGAAGUUCUUCAAGGUUCCAAGCUUGACUUAGGAUCAGCUAGAGUCAAGCUUGAGGGGGAGUGUUGACUAGAAGAAAAGAAAUGGAGUGGUGAAGUGUUGAGUUGAGAUUGAGUCUUGAGCAAGAAUAGGGCAAGACCUCCGGAGAUUAUCUAUGAAGACUUUAGGAGUGUUUAAAGGUGUCCAGAAGUGCUCAUAUGGCUGUGCAAAGAUAGGGCCAAGUCCAGGAGGGACUUAGAAGAGUGUUUGGGAGCAAAUGGGCAAGUGUGCAUACUUAGGGCAAGGCAGUACGGAUGGUACGGACCUGUACGGAUCCGUACGGAACGAGACAACCCGAGGAUACACAACUUGGCCAUUUGAGAUGUUUUGAGGUGGUGCAAAGUCCAGGACAAGAUGUGCAAACUUAGGGCGUGAUCAGAACAUGUCUGGGAGACUUUGUGCAUACUUAGGGCUAAUAAAAAGAAGUCUGGUCGUGAAGCAUCAAAAGGAAAUCAAGAAGAUCCUUUGUGGAGGCAAGCGGCCAAUGAGAGCAAAGAUGGAGCUGAUUGGUUACUUUGGAGGAUGGACAGGUUGGCCUUGGCUGUAAAGCCAAAGGGGGGCACGACCAUGAACAUGGUCUGAAUGAAGGCUUGAUACAUGGGAGCCUAUAAGGAGCCAAUGAGAGAACAGCCUUCCCUUUGACCAGUUUGAAUCAGCCAAUCAGAUAUCAUCAGCCCUCAGCCAAUCACAAGACAUCACACAGAUUGCAAUACCAAGCUCUCAUCUACACCAUCCAUUCUCUCAAGUUAAUAUUAUCCAUUAGAUUUAGGUUUCAGAUUGUGCAAACCUAUUAAGCUUAUAAAUAAGCUUGUAAGAGGCGAUUUUGAGCCUUAAGGGAGUUUGGGGGAUUUCCCCUCUCCACUUCAUAAUGAAAUGUGUUCUUGAAUCAGAUUCCCUUUAAACUCUCCCUUUCUUAUACUCUUAAUCUCUCAAAGUCUCUUGUUUCUGAUUUAAGUAAACACAUAAACACUCUUAUAAAACUCUCUCUCUAAAAUCACCUAAAACAAACUCUAAUCUUCUCAUCUUGCUCCAUUGGAGCUUAUACACACACACAACCUGAGAUCUCUGAAAAUCUCACAGUGGCGUGUCUAUUCAAGAGAGUGUUCAAACUAAGACAGAGCACUCUUGGCUGUGUGAAGAAGAAGGCUACUCUAUCAAUGUGGCUUCAAGUGUUGAGGUGGUUGAAGAAGUAGCUGAAGCUUCCACAAGCAUUCCAUCAAGGUGGCGAAUUCAGAAGAGAGGUUGCAGUGGCUUGGGUGUGCGGAUCAUGAAGCAGUCCGUCCAAGCUUGUUCAUGUGAGAGUCUCAAGCUUGAGGGGGAGUGUUGAAGCUUACAUGAUCCGAGAGUACUUGGUUGUUAUUCAAGAAGAGAAGCAAACCGGUUAGGAAGUAUGGUGGAGGAUGAAGAAGCAAUGUCCAAGGCGGCCUCAAGUGUUGAGGUGGUUGGAGUGAGGCUGAAGCAUCCUUAUGUAGUUCCAGCAACAAGGUGGUGACUCAUGAAGAAGAAGCAUCCAAGGCUCAGCUAGUUCUUGUAUCUCUAUGAAGAGGCUGAUCUGGUAUGUCCGAGCACUUCAACCUAACAAGAAGGUUAGGUGAAAGGGGGAGAGACCAAGAGCAGGCUGAGAGAAGAGUACAAGGCGUGGGGUGAUGUGAAGAGGCCAUGAUCCCGAGUCUUUGUGUCUAUCACACUGAUACUAAGACACAAAGACUCACUGGCCAAUCCCUAGGUCUUGGAGACUUUACUCUUUUUCCCUCAUCAAGGUUUUGUCCCAAAGGGUUUUCCUUGGUGAGGUUUUUAAUGAGGAAGUUCUUCAAGGUUCCAAGCUUGACUUAGGAUCUGCUAAAGUCAAGCUUGAGGGGGAGUGUUAACUUGAAGAAAGAAAUGGAGCCAAAGGUGGAGUUGGGUUGAGAUGGGUCUUGAGCAAGAAUAUGGCAAGACCUUCAGAGAUUGUCUGUCAAGACUUCAGGAGGGUUUUGAAGGUGUCCAGAAGUGAUCAGAUGGUUGUGCAAAGAUAGGGCCAAGUCCAGGAGGGACUUAGAAGUGUGAUUGGGAGCAAAUGGUUGAGUCUGCAAAGAUAAGGCGACCAGGACAGAUCAGUACGGAUCAGGGUCGACCCAUAUUGCAUAACUCGGCCAUUUGAGACAUUUUAGGACUUGUGCAAUUUAAGGAUGUUGUACGGUCAGUGCAAACAAUCCGUACAUAUCCUGAAGUUGCAACAAGUCUGUCUUGAGCCCCAAGGAAGAAGAAACUCGUGUGGCUGAUUAUGGGAAGAGGCCAAGAGUGUAUUCUGAUCCUAAAGGGCGCCAAUGCUUUAUUUAAAGUGUUGGGACCACUUGUGGAUAAGACAGCAAGGUGUUAGCUGGCGUGAGCUGUAAAGAAGAAGCACCCUUGAUCAUGUAUCUGGUCAGAUACAUGGGAAUAUUCAUGGGAGCCUAUAAGGAGCCAAUGAGAAGCCAGCCCUUGCCUUGACCAGUUUGAAUUAACCAAUCAGAUACUAAAGAGAGCUGAACCAAUGAGAUACCUUCACUCAGAUCAAGCCCAAGCUCCAUCCUAGCCAUUCAUUCUUUCAAGUGUUUCUAUCCAUUAGAUUUAGGUUUCUAAUGUAUGCAAUGUGUAAAGCUUAUAAAAGCUAGUGUAAUGGGCGAUUUUGAAGCUCUUAAGCUGAAAGGGGGGUUUCCCCUUCUCUUCAUAAACUUGUUCUUGAAACUUAAAACCCUAGACACUAAACUCUUGAAUCUCUAGACUUGUUACCAAUCUCAUAAACACUUAGACACAAACACUCUUUCUAGUCUUUUCUCAAAUCACUUUCAAGCUCUCAUCUUUCUCCAUUGGAGUUUAUACACACACAAACACACACAACCAGUACUCUGUUCAAAUCUCAUAAAGAGAAGAUAGAGCUUGUACAAUAAUAGGGCAAGCUCUAGAAGAUGUCCAGAAGAGUUCAAUCAAGCUUCAGAAGUGUUCUGAAGUAGUUAUCUUGUGAAGUUAAGUCUAGGAAAGACUUAGACUGAUCAUGUUAAGGGUUUGGAGGAGUUAGAGAGAAGAUGGCCAUAGGUGCAAAGCUAGGGCGAGUGGUACGGCCAUGGUACGGCCUUGUACGGUCGAGGGUGAAUCAUGAAGGUGUUUGGGGUCAGUCAAGAAGGAGAUAAGGCAUUGUGCAUAGUUAGGGAUAGUGGUACGGACAGGAGGUCCGUACCAUCAACCGUACGGCCACUCCACACGCCCAAGUCAUCCGGUUCAGCCCAAAUCAAGAUGUGCAAUGUGAGGGCGGUUCACUCUGAUUCUAUCCUUUCCUAUAGUGUCCGUUGGGGAGUCUUGGAGGCAAAGGAAGAAUCAAAUGGAUAAGGUGAGCUGUUGGUAUGAGCUGGAAAGGUAAAGGUGCUUUACCUUUACAGCCUUGACUCAUCUGAUCCAUCCAAUUCAAAUGAAGCAAUCUGAGCCCUCCAUUCAGUCCAACCACGACCAGCUAGCACCAGAACAUCAAAUACCAGCUUCCUCUCAUCCUAACCAUCCAUUUAUCUUUAAUUUACAGCCUUAGGAUCUAGGUUUAUGAUCUGAGUUGUGUAAAGGCAUAAAUAAGCCUCUUAGGAUCAUUUUGUAACUUUUAAGCUGAGAGAGUCUCUCUUCUUCAUAAACUUGUUCUUGGAUCUUAUUCUCUGGUUACUAAGUCUCUCUAAUCUCCCAUACACGUUCCUAAUCUCUUAGUCUCUCCCAUACUCUCUCUGAUUCUCUUAAACUCAUUUGUAUUCUUCAUACUUCAUCAUACACAAAUCUCUCAUCUGUUCUUACAUCACUCAAGCACUUGUACUCUGAAAAUCUCACACUCCUAUGGGUUUAUUAAACUUCCUGGUGAUUCUCCACCACUUUAUGUAUCCAAAUCAAGCUUUUCACAAAGUGAUUCCAGAGCCAGGUUACUCAGACUCCUGGUAGAAGCUUCCGCAACAAACACAAGCUCCAGCCCACGCCAGUUCAGCUCAGUUCACUCAGCUCCCAAGCGCCAGCCUUUGAAGAAGUUCCUUGACAGUUUUGCUCUUUCCAGCCUCAAGAUGGAGUCCAAAAGAGCCAUUGUCAUCCCAGUCACUCUCAAAGGCCCCAACUACCUUCUCUGGUCACGCCUAGCCAAGACAGCCAUAGGAGGAAAGGGUUUAUGGAGCCAUUGCAUCUCAGAUGCUCCAAACCACUCCAAAGCUGUCGCCUGUUGAAGAGUUAAGUAUAAAGAUGUGAAGCACAAAGGGGGUUAAGACUGAAGGGAGUAUGUUAAGCAUUGGUGUGAUGGGAGAGGUUCACAAUGACCUGACCGUACAAGGCCGUACAAGGCCGUACGGUCCGUACACAUUCAGAUAACUGAAACCUCGACCACACGGUCACAAGAAGUUACCCGAGUAACUCAUGUGGAAAGGAGAGGCUUUGGCUGAUGGAUCAGACCGUUGGAGGAUAAGAAGAGGCGCGGCUUUGUUGAGAUGAGAUCACUUUGAGAUGAGAUCAUGAGAUGAAGUGUUGAGUAAUGUAUGUGAGGAGAGAGUAUGAAGUGGUGAAGCAUUAGGAAGAAAGGGAUUGAGGAGGCUUAGUCCGUACAAUCAGUACAGGCCGUACAUGAGGAGUGGCCGUACAAGUCUUGGGUAAUACUCUUCACUAUUCAGGAUGGUUACUUGUGAAAAGGGUGAUGGUAACUAUGGAGAGUUACCAGCACUUGAUCAGACCGUUGAGAGAAGGAUAAGACCGCGGCUUGACAGGCUGUAUGCAGCUGGAAAGGAAAAGCAACCUUAUCCAUUCAUCCCACACAUGUGGAGUCUCCCAUUGGCUUAGUUUGAAACCGGCGCCUAGCUCUUCCUUGACUUCACAUGCUUUGCUUACUUUACCUUUAGGAAAACCCUUGUAUCUUCUCCUAUAUAUUUGUAAACUCUUCAUUAAUGAUAAUCAGACAGUUCUUGACACUAAAACAAUCUCUUAGACUCAAAGGCUCUCAAUCAUGAUCAUACACUAAACUCUUAGCUAAACUCGUCCUAAAUAACCUCUAGACUCUUUCUAAUCUCUUUCUUUCCUUAUAUCAAACUCAGAUUCUCUAAAACUUAUAGGCUUGACAGGCUGGCACAGCUGGAAAGGCAAGAGCAUCUUGGUCCAAGAUGCCAGAUACUCCAAGCAUGUGGAGAAGCUGAUUGGCCGGUCUAAAGAAAGCUUAUCCUCUCCUUGUUGACUUCACAUGCUUAGCUUAGCUCUUUGAUUUCGAAAACCCUUAUGAUCUCACACUAUAUAUUGUAACUCUUGUCAUUAAUAAUAAUAUACACAGUUCUCAGUUUAUCUCUCUAAGUUCAUACUCUCUUAAUCAUGAUUCUAGUCUAAUCUCUUCAUAAUCUCUCAUUCUGUUCCUUAAUCUUCUCUAAAUCAUUUCAUUCUCUUAAUCUUUCAUGGUAUCAGAGCCAGGUUGCCCAUUUCCUGGUUUCUAAAUCUCAGUAAUCUUCAGCUUCAUUUCAUUUACGGUUGUUCUUAAGCAUUUGGAAUGGAAGAAAGCAAGAGCAAGGCUCUCUCGGUUGCGGUUACGUUGAAGGGUGGUACUAACUACCUGUUGUGGUCUCGCUUGGUGAAAGCGGCAGUUGGGAGCAAGGGUUUAUGGAGCCAUAUCUCAGAUGGAGCUCCGAAACCAGUUGCUAAAGAAGGAGAAGGCGGUCAAGAGCUGAUGGUGGUAGAUCAAGAGAAGUGGGAUCAAGAUGACUUGAAGGUGCUUACUGUACUACAUGGGUCACUUGAAGCUUCAAUCCUGGAAGCCUACAGCUACUGUGAGACGCCAAAGGACCUGUGGGAUACGCUCCAAAAGGUCUACGGUAACAUCUCUAAUCUGAGCCGUGUGUUUGAGUUGAAGAGAUCAAUCAACACACUUGUGCAAGAAGAGGUGGAGUUUACUAAACACUUGGGAAAGUUCAGAGCCUUAUGGUCUGAGCUAGAGAUGCUGAGGCCUAACACCACUGAUCAAGAUGUUCUCAUGGAGAGAAGAGAGCAGGAUCAAGUGUUCGGGUUGUUGCUCACCUUGAAUCCGGUCUACAAUGACCUCAUCAAGCACAUCUUGAGAUCACCAAAGCUCCCUUCCCUUGAAGAUGUAUGUGCGCAGAUUCAAAGAGAGGAGGGAUCAGUUGGGUUGUUUGGAGGAAAGGGGGAGCUUACACUCGCAAAUCAAGCUGAGGCUAUCCAAGCAAACAAAGCGGCUUACAAUGAAGGGAAGUUUGGAGGAAAGUGUGAUCAUUGCAAGAAGCAGGGCCAUAAGAGGAGCCAAUGCUGGAUUCUACACCCUCACCUCAAGCCUACCAAGUUCAUGAGGGAUAGAGAGGCAAGGGCGCAUCUGUCUGAUGGAGCUAGUGAAGCUGGAACAUCCGGAGCUGGACAGGCCAUGCGAGAAGGUGAAGGGAAGGCCUUAGCCACUCAGCACACUCGGGAAGAGCACUGAUGGUGAGAUGAUAAGGAGAUCAGACAUUGAUGCCCUUAUCAAAGCUCUCAAGGAGAAUGGUAACUGUAUGAACACUCCUCUAGGAUAUUCUCUUGCUGCAUCAUACAUAGAUAGAACUCAUGGUUAUCUAAGUCAUAACAGUGAGAUAAAUGAUGCAUCUAGAUUUCUAAACAGCUUGAAUGAUUUGCCUAGAACACUUGCUGCUAAAAAUGUGAUAAAACCUUUGAUUGUAGAUUCAGGUGCAUCACAUCACAUGAUUAGUGACACUAGUCUCAUUAAGGAUAUAGAACCUGCUUGUGGAAAUGUGAUGAUUGCAAAUGGUGAUAGAAUUGCAAUUAAAGGGAUAGGAAAUCUAAAUCUGUUUGAUAAGGAGUCUAAAGCUUUCUAUAUGCCUGAAUUCACAUCAAAUUUAUUAUCUGUUAAAAGAUGUACUACUGAUCUACAUUGUAAUGUUAUCUUUAGUCCUAAUGAUGUGAAGUUUCAGGAUAUUGACACAAGAAAGAUGAUUGGCAAGGGAGUUACCAAAGGAGAGCUUUAUAUGCUAGAAGACAUAGCUCCCAUUUCAAAUUCAAGUUUCUCGUUUAGUUCUAUCUCUAGUUUGAAUAAUGAUGCAUUAUGGCAUGCUAGAUUAGGUCAUCCACAUGUUAGGGCUUUAAGCUUAAUGUUACCAGGUGUCAUGUUUAAAAAUAAUGAAUGUGAAGCAUGUAUCUUGGGCAAACAUUGUAAGACAGUCUUUAAAAACUCAACUACUAUAUAUGAGAAAUGCUUUGAUCUUGUGCAUUCUGAUGUUUGGACUGCUCCUUGCUUGUCUAGGGAAAAUUAUAAGUACUUUGUAACAUUCAUUGAUGAAAAAUCCAAAUACACCUGGAUAACACUCAUUAAAACUAAGGAUAGAGUUCUUGAAGCAUUUAAAAACUUUCAAGCUUAUGUAUCUAACCAUUAUAAUGCCAAGCUUAAGAUUUUCAGAUCAGAUAAUGGUGGGGAAUAUACAAGCAAUGCCUUCAAGCAACAUCUAGCCUUACACGAAAUCCUUCAUCAAACUAGCUGUCCUUACACUCCACAACAAAAUGGUGUGGCUGAGAGAAAGAACAGACAUCUAAUGGAGGUUGCAAGAUCAAUGAUGUUUCAAACCAAUGUCCCAAAGAGAUUUUGGAGUGAUGCUGUGAUCUCAGCCUACUACUUGAUCAACCGAAUUCCUACAAGAGUCUUGGAAGAUCAAUCACCGUUUGAAGUACUGAAUAAGGUCAAGCCAUCUCUAAGCCAUUUGAGAGUGUUCGGAAGCCUAUGUUAUGUGCUGAUUCCAGGAGACAUGAGGAACAAGUUGGAGCCUAAGAGUACCAAAGCCAUGUUUGUGGGAUACUCAACAACACAAAGAGGAUACAAAUGCUUUGAUCCGCAAACAAGAAGACUUCUAGUUUCAAGGGACGUAAAGUUCAUAGAAACUAAAGGUUACUAUGAAGAAAGGAGCUGGGAAGAUCUGGAAGAUCUAGCUCAACCAUCUGAUAAGGCCGCGAGUCUUAGGAUGAUCUUGGAUGGUCUUGGGAUCAAUACAACCCAGGAUCCAAAAGGGCGAGAAGCACCAGUUCAAAAUGAAGCUGAAGACACAUCCCAUGCUGAUCAUGAAGGGGGAAACAAGUCUGAUACAGCUCAUGAGAAUGAAGGGAGCUCAAGUCCUGAUCAACAAGUGAUGCACAAUGAAGAUGCAACUGAAGAAAGAAGAGAUCAGAUGGAGAUACAACCUGAAGAAAGGGAAGAGGUACUGAAUGAAACGGCUAUAGAGCCUGAUGUGGUCAGUGAGCCACGUAUGGAGACAGUGCCAUUAAGAAGAAGUACGAGAGUAAGGAAGGAUCCAUCUAACUGGACCAAUACCAGAGUCUAUUACAAUGCUCAAGCCGUUGCACAUCCUAGUCAAGCUGUCUGUUCAUUUGCCGAGUUCCCAAACGAGCAUUGUGCCUUUAUGACAAGUUUGGAUACAAGCUACAUACCAAGGACAUAUGAGGAGGCAAUGAAAGACAAAGAGUGGAGAAACUCAGUUGCGGAUGAGGCUGAUGUUAUGGUUAAGAAUGGAACCUGGUAUGAGAGUGAGCUGCCUCAAGGGAAGAAGGCAGUAUCAUGUAAAUGGAUAUUUACAAUCAAGUAUAGACCAGAUGGGACGGUUGAUAGGAAGAAGACCAGGCUUGUGGCUAGAGGGUUUACACAGACAUAUGGAGAGGACUACAUAGACACAUUUGCUCCAGUAGCUAAGCUUCACACCAUCAGAAUCAUCUUAUCAAUUGCUACUAACCUUGAAUGGGGAUUGUGGCAAAUGGAUGUGAAGAAUGCAUUUCUACAAGGGGAACUUGAAGAUGAGGUGUAUAUGCAGCCUCCUCCGGGUCUUGAGAGUCUUGUGAAGCCAGGGAAUGUCCUAAGAUUGAAGAAGGCUAUCUAUGGAUUGAAGCAAUCACCUAGAGCCUGGUACCACAAGCUGAGUACUACACUGAAUGGAAAAGGCUUCAGGAAGUCUGAACUGGACCAUACCUUGUUCACUCUAAACACAACCUCAGGUAUCAUCUGUCUAUUGGUCUAUGUUGAUGACAUUAUCAUUACUGGGAGUGAUAAGGUUGGAAUACAAGAAACCAAAGACUAUCUCAAGUCUGUGUUUGAGAUUAAAGAUCUUGGAGAGAUGAAAUACUUUCUUGGGAUUGAGAUUUGUAGAUCCAAGGAAGGAUUAUUCAUGUCCCAAAGAAAAUAUACACUUGAUCUUUUGAAAGAUGCAGGUAAAUUUGGAGGACAAACCGCGAAAAUGCCAAUGGAGGAUGGGUACAAAGUACCAAGAGAGGGGGAGCUUGAAGACAGCAAGCUGUUCCAUGACCCUAAGCUUUAUAGGAAGCUAGUGGGUAAGCUAAUCUACCUAACAAUCACACGACCUGAUAUCUGCUUUGCUGUGAAUCAGGUGAGUCAACACAUGCAAGCUCCAAAGGAUCACCAUUGGAGAAUGGUAGAUAGAGUGCUAAGCUACCUCAACGGAUCACCAGGCCAAGGAGUCUGGAUGGGAUGCAAUGGGAGUACAGAAGUUGUUGGCUACUGUGAUGCAGAUUGGGCUGGAGAUAGAGCAGACAGAAGAUCUACAACCGGCUACUGCACCUUCAUUGGAGGGAACCUUGUGACUUGGAAGAGCAAGAAGCAGAAGGUGGUCUCAUGUUCUAGUGCGGAGGCAGAGUAUAGAGCAAUGCUGAAGCUCACUAAUGAGUUGGUAUGGAUCAAGGGGAUCUUGAAGCACAUUGAGAUUGAGCAAGUGGCGCCAAUGACAAUGCAUUGUGAUAACCAAGCCGCAAUUCACAUUGCCUCCAACUCAGUCUUCCAUGAGAGAACCAAGCACAUUGAAGUGGAUUGUCACAAGGUGAGGCAGAUGAUAGUCUUGGGAGUGAUUCUGCCAUGCUAUACAAGGAGUGAGGAUCAACUGGCUGAUGUGUUCACAAAAGCGGCAAGGAUGAAGACAAUGGAGUCCAUCUACAUCAGGUUGGGACUCAUUGAUCUUUCACCUAGGAGCUGAGCCCCUUACUAUGAGGUCUUUACUCUUUUUCCCUCAUCAAAGUUUUGUCCCAAUGGGUUUUCUUUGGUGAGGUUUUUAAUGAGGAAGAUCUCAUAGUGUCCAAGCUUAGACUUCACAAAGCUAAGCUUGAGGGGGAGUGUUGAAGAGUUAAGUAUAAAGAUGUGAAGCACAAAGGGGGUUAAGACUGAAGGGAGUAUGUUAAGCAUUGGUGUGAUGGGAGAGGUUCACAAUGGCGUGACCGUACAAGGCCGUACAAGGCCGUACGGUCCGUACACAUUCAGAUAAGUGAAACCUCGACCACAUGGUCACAAUAAGUUACCCGAGUAACUCAUGUGGAAAGGAGAGGCUUUGGCUGAUGGAUCAGACCGUUGGAGGAUAAGAAGAGGCGCGGCUUGACAGGCUGGCACAGCUGGAAAGGCAAGAGCAUCUUGGUCCAAGAUGCCAGAUACUCCAAGCAUGUGGAGAAGCUGAUUGGCCGGUCUAAAGAAAGCUUAUCCUCUCCUUGUUGACUUCACAUGCUUAGCUUAGCUCUUUGAUUUCGAAAACCCUUAUGAUCUCACACUAUAUAUUGUAACUCUUGUCAUUAAUAAUAAGAUACACAGUUCUGAGUUUAUCUCUCAAAGUUCAUACUCUCUUAAUCAUGAUUCUAGUCUAAUCUCUUCAUAAUCUCUCAUUCUGUUCCUUAAUCUUCUCUAAAUCAUUUCAUUCUCUUAAUCUUUCAGUGGCUGAGUUCCCUUAACCAUGGGCUCUUUACUCUUUUUCCCUCAUCUAGGUUUUGUCCCAGUGGGUUUUCCUUGGUGAGGUUUUUAAUGAGGAAGAUCUCAUGGUUUCCAAGCUUGAUCAAUCACCAAGAUCAAGCUUGAGGGGGAGUGUUGAAAUGAGCUGAGUAUAAGAAGAGAAGAGAGGAGGAGUUGGAGAACAUGAGAGAAGGUUCAGCUUGGGUGAGUUUUGGGAGUGAGGAUCAACCAGGCCGUACAAGACCGUACAUGGCCGUACAGGCCGUACAGUCUGGACGGACCAUGGUCGACCUUAACUCGACCAAAGGGAACUUAUGAUCACCCGAGUAAAAGGAAAGUGAAAGAGAAGUUACCUGAGCUUGCACCUAUGGAUCAGACCGUUGAACAGGAAGAAAAGAAAGUCCAAGACAGGCUGGCACAGCUGUAAAGAGGAAAGGAUCUUGUCCAAGAUGCCUUGAUGCCAAAAGCGUGUAAAGCCUCCCAUUGGACAGUUUGAAAUGGGCGCUCCUUCUCCCUUUGACUACACAUGCUUAACCUAUCUGAUUCUCACAAACCCUAGCUCUCUCUCCUUGUAUAUAUAUCAACUCAUGUCAUUAAUAAAUUUUUACACAGUUUGAGUCAUUCUCUCUCUCUUGUUCUUGAGUGUUCAUCAUGAUUCUUCACUAAUCUUUUCAUAAUCCAAUCUCAUUCUCUUAUUCUCUAAAUCACUCUAACUCUUUCUAUAAAUCUUAUAGCCCUAUUAUUGUACAAGCUCUAUCUUCUCUUCAGUUCAACACUCCCCCUCAAGCUUGACUUUAGGAGAUCCUAAGCCAAGCUUGGAACUCUGAAGAGUCUCCCUCAUUAAAAACCUUACAAGGAAAACCCAUUGGGACAAAACCUUGCAAGGGAAAAAGAGUAGAGCUCUCCAAAGCCUAGGGAUUGGCCAGUGAGCUCUUGUGCCUUAGAACCAGUGUGGUUGGACACAAGAAGCUCUGGAUCACGGCCUAAUAGGUGCAGCAACACUUCACAGCUUUGCGCACACUUCACACUUCAGCUUCACCUCUUCAUGGAACCGGUUUGAAGUCUCCCCCUCUCAACUGACUUCACAGCCAUCUUAGAGAAGCUAGGACACGACCAGAUCAUCUUCAAAACACCAGUAAGGCUGAUCAACACUUCAAACUAUGCUUGCCCUCUUCAUAGAACUGGUUUGGAUCUCCCCCUCUCAACAGACUUCACAGCCACCUUAGAGAAGCUAGGAAAUGACCAGGAACAUCUUUAGUGAGACUCAAGCAAUGGUACCUGAUACAUUAUCCCAAAGGUGCAUCAGUACUUAUCAAGAAACAUCACACAAUCCAUUCAAACAUUUUAAGUAUCAUUUCUAGACUUUGAUUUGAAAUGAUGAAUGUAUUGAAUUGAAUUGAGCUUAGAACACUUCCCUUUUGUUUUGGUGAGUUCCCACUCGGCCAUUGCACCAUCUCCAUGGCAUCAUCAACUUCUUGGAAAGGCAGAAUGGAUUCAUCAGCUUCUCAUCAAUCACUUCACCAUAGAAGCCGCUUUGAUGAGUUCACCUUCACCCUUAGACUGCCUAGAAUAGCUCCGGCUGAUGAUCCUUUGUAGGAGCCUUUGCAAAGACUUGUUACUGACCAUGGAUCAUAUGCAUUAAGACUCCCCCUCAAGCUUAGAACCGAGACUAGAAGGAGCUAAGCUUGUGAUGAUCAUAUGCAUCCCCAUGGUCUUAUAACUAUCAGUCUUCCAUGAUAGCUUUUUUCUUGUGAGUUUACUCUCUUCCUUAACCAGGAACUAGGGUGUUUGAAUCACCAUAGAGAGCCUCACAAGACACACUUCUCAUUGCAUAAUGACCCAUGCUACACUUCCUGUAGACUUUGGACUGGAUAUUUCCAAUGGUAUUAUGCAAUGGCCAUCUCUCAUUGCAUAAUCAAUCACACUACACUUCCUGUAGAUUAUGGACUAACAUGUCCUAGUGAUGAUAUGCAAUGGCACUAGACCUUUGUCUCUACAUUCUUGGCUGUUGGCGAGUUACAUGUAUCACUCCUUGUGUACCUAACACCACCACAACUCAAUGCAAGAUCAGAUCAUCCCAUUGGGAUCAAACUAAGAUCUUCCAUCCUGUUUGAUCACCAAUGCCACAACAGUAUAUAAUACUUGAAACAAACCAGACAAUCAAGGCAAGAACAAGUAAAUUUCAAUCUCUAAAAUGACAAUGCAAGCUCUAAACAAUACAUUGACAUUCUAGGUUUAUUUGUUCAUUUUUCAUUUUUUUUUUUUAAGUUCUCUAAAUGCAAUGCAAGCUUACAUCAGUACAUUUGCAAUUUAGGUUCAUUUUUAAAUGCAUCACUACAUGAAUGCACAAUCUUAAAGCAUUAGCUAUAUGAAUGCAACAAGGUCAAUCCAUGAGACAUAUUAAAGCUAUGCUCAACAGUUUCAAUCAAAACCAAUGAUGCAAGCAACUUAGACAAUUUCUAAUUGAUGCUAGACUUUCAUUGAUGGAUUAAACAUAGGCAUUAGCAUCAGUACACACUCGGAUUGAACUUAGACAAUAUGAGACAUGCUUAUGUAUGCAAAACAGCUUUUCAAACAUGAUGCAAGUAGUAGAGACAUUCUACUCAAUUCUACAACCCAUUCAUGAUGAUUCAAGCAAUGGCAACUCACAAGACAAUGCAAUAACCCAAAACAUGAGAUUCUGGGACUCUAGACACCACUCACAGCACAAUAAAUAAAGACACAAGCUCUUAUUAAGGGUUAGGAGGUUUGCUUACAAACAAGAGAUCCGAGCUGAUCUCUUGAACCUCCAUGGGCACGGUUCACUUGAACUUGGCAGGUUUGAGGCUUGGAUUCAGUAUCCAACACCUCUCCUUGGUGUGCCCAUCCCUCUUGCAAUGUUCACACUUCAGGCCUCUCCUAUCCCCCUUCUUGUAAGGUGCCUUGUUGGGCUGAGAGCUUCUUUCAGCUUGAGAAGCAAAGGAGAGUGUUUCCUUUGUUCCAAACAACCCGAUUGAUCCCUCCUCCUUUUGGACUUGGGAACACACUUCUUCAAGUGUUGGGAGCUUCUCAGACCUCAAGAUAUGUUGAAUCAAGGCGCUGUAGGCAGGGCUGAGGGUUAGUAGUAGGCCAAACACCUUGUCUUGCUCCCUUCUUUCAAUCAACACCUCCGGAUCAACAGAUUGGGGUCUAAGCAUCUCUAGCUCAGACCAAAGGGCUCUGAACUUGCCUAGAUGCGCAGUGAACUCCUCAUCUUCUUGGGAUAGGAUGUUGAUGGACUUCUUGAUCUCAAAUACUCGGCUGAUGUUGGAGAUGUUCCCAUAUAUCUUGUUAAGUGUACUCCAAAGGUCUUUAGCACUCUCACAGUAUGAGUAUGCUUCAAGGAUGGAUGGAGACAGUGAGCUAUGGAGAAUGGAUAAGACCUUGAGGUCUUCUUGUUCCCACUUCUCCUCAGAUACAGAUUUGGAACCGGAUUCACCAUCUGCUGAGCUUUCAUUUGAACCGGCAGUCUUGGAGAGCUUUGGAGCAUCCGUGAGGCAAUGGCUCCAUAAGCCUCUCCCUCCUAGAGCUGUCUUCACCAUGCGUGACCAGAGAAGGUAGUUGGGACCAUUGAGAGUAACAGCAAUGACAAUGGUUCUUUUGGACUCCAUGUUGAAGCCGGAUGAACAAGACUGUCAAAGAACUCUUCAAGGUAGUAUCUUGGGACAAGGUGAGCUGAAUCUUCAAGGGCGUGAGCUUGGGAGCUUGUGGAUGUUGCGGAAGCUUCUACCAGGAGUCUGAGCAACCUGGCUCUGAUACCAUGUGAGAUUUUCAGAGUACAAGUGCUUGAGUGAUGUAAGAACAGAUGAGAGAUUUGUGUAUGAUGAAGUAUGAAGAAUAGAAAUGAGUUUAAGAGAAUCAGAGAGAGUAUGGGAGAGACUAAGAGAUUAGGAACGUGUAUGGGAGAUUAGAGAGACUUAGUAACCAGAGAAUAAGAUCCAAGAACAAGUUUAUGAAGAAGAGAGACUCUCUCAGCUUAAAAGUUACAAAAUGAUCCUAAGAGGCUUAUUUAUGCCUUUACACAACUCAGAUCAUAAACCUAGAUCCUAAGGCUGUAAAUUAAAGAUAAAUGGAUGGUUAGGAUGAGAGGAAGCUGGUCUUUGAUGUUCUGGUGCUAGCUGGUCGUGGUUGGACUGAAUGGAGGGCUCAGAUUGCUUCAUUUGAAUUGGAUGGAUCAGAUGAGUCAAGGCUGUAAAGGUAAAGCACCUUUACCUUUCCAGCUCAUACCAACAGCUCACCUUAUCCAUUUGAAUCUUCCUUUGCCUCCAAGACUCCCCAAAGGUCACAUAAGGAAGGAUAAUCCACGCCCACACAUUGCACAUCACCAAACAAAGCUGAUCCGGGUCUUUGGUCGAUCCGGAUGGGAUGUACGGUCGAUGUACGGCCUUGAGGUCCGUACACUCGCCCUAUAUCUUUACCUUCAUCCAAACAUCUUCUAUGGUCGACCCAUACACCUUCUUGGAUCAUCCUAGGCCGUACAGGGCCGUACCAUGGCCGUACCACUCGCCCUAGCUUUGCACCUAUGGCCAUCUUCUCUCUAACUCCUCCAAACCUUUCACAUGAUCAGUCUAAGUCUUUCCUAGACUUAACUUCUCAAGAUAACUACUUCAGAACACUUCUGAAGCUUGAUUGAACUCUUCUGGACAUCUUCUAGAGCUUGCCCUAUUAUUGUACAAGCUCUAUCUUCUCUUCAGUUCAACACUCCCCCUCAAGCUUGACUUUAGGAGAUCCUAAGCCAAGCUUGGAACUCUGAAGAGUCUCCCUCAUUAAAAACCUUACAAGGAAAACCCAUUGGGACAAAACCUUGCAAGGGAAAAAGAGUAGAGCUCUCCAAAGCCUAGGGAUUUGCCAGUUAGCUCUUGUGCCUUAGAACCAGUGUGGUUUGACACAAGAAGCUCUGGAUCACGGCCUAAUAGGUGCAGCAACACUUCACAGCUUUGCGCACACUUCACACUUCAGCUUCACCUCUUCAUGGAACCGGUUUGAAGUCUCCCCCUCUCAACUGACUUCACAGCCAUCUUAGAGAAGCUAGGACACGACCAGAUCAUCUUCAAAACACCAGUAAGGCUGAUCAACACUUCAAUCUAUGCUUGCCCUCUUCAUAGAACUGGUUUGGAUCUCCCCCUCUCAACAGACUUCACAGCUACCUUAGAGAAGCUAGGAAAUGACCAGGAACAUCUUUAGUGAGACUCAAGCAAUGGUACCUGAUACAUUAUCCCAAAGGUGCAUCAGUACUUAUCAAGAAACAUCACACAAUCCAUUCAAACAUUUUAAGUAUCAUUUCUAGACUUUGAUUUGAAAUGAUGAAUGUAUUGAAUUGAAUUGAGCUUAGAACACUUCCCUUUUGUUUUGGUGAGUUCCCACUCGGCCAUUGCACCAUCUCCAUGGCAUCAUCAACUUCUUGGAAAGGCAGAAUGGAUUCAUCAGCUUCUCAUCAAUCACUUCACCAUAGGAGCCGCUUUGAUGAGUUCACCUUCACCCUUAGACUGCCUAGAAUAGCUCCGGCUGAUGAUCCUUUGUAGGAGCCUUUGCAAAGACUUGUUACUGACCAUGGAUCAUAUGCAUUAAGACUCCCCCUCAAGCUUAGAACCGAGACUAGAAGGAGCUAAGCUUGUGAUGAUCAUAUGCAUCCCCAUGGUCUUAUUGAAAGUUUAAGAGAAUGAAAUGAUUUAGAGAAGAUUAAGGACCAGAAUGAGAGAUUAUGAAGAGAUUAGACUAGAAUCAUGUUUAGGAGAGUAUGAACUUCAAGAGAUAAACUCAGAACUAUAUGUUUCUUAUUAAUGACAAGAGUUACAAUAUAUAGUGUGAGAUCAUAAGGGUUUUCGAAAUCAAAGAGAUUAGCUAAGCAUGUGAAGUCAACAAGGAGAAGAUAAGCUUUCUUUGGACCGGCCAAUCAGCUUCUCCACACGCUUGGAGCAUCCGGCAUCUUGGACCAAGAUGCUCUUCCCUUUCCAGCUGUGCCAGCCUGUCAAGCCGCGCCUCUUCUUAUCCUCCAACGGUCUGAUCCAUCAGCCAAAGUCUCUCCUUUCCACAUGAGUUACUCGGGUAACUCCUUGUGACCGUGGUCGAGGUUUCACCCAUCUGAAUGUGUACGGACCGUACGGCCUUGUACGGUCAGGCCAUUGUGAACCUCUCCCAUCACACCAAUGCUUAACACACCCUCUUCAGCCUUAACCCCUUUGUGCUUCACAUCUUUAUACUCAACUCUUCAACACUCCCCCUCAAGCUUAGCUUUAUGAAGUCUAAGCUUGGACACUAUGAGAUCUUCCUCAUUAAAAACCUCACCAAAGAAAACCCAUUGGGACAAAACUUUGAUGAGGGAAAAAGAGUAAAGACCUCAUAGUAAGGGGCUCAGCUCCUAGGUGAAAGAUCAAUGAGUCCCAACCUGAUGUAGAUGGACUCCAUUGUCUUCAUCCUUGCCGCUUUUGUGAACACAUCAGCAAGUUGAUCCUCACUCCGUGUGUAGCAUGGCAGAAUCACUCCCAAGACUAUCAUCUGCCUCACCUUGUGACAAUCCACUUCAAUGUUGAGAUAAGAGAAUAAAGUGUUGAGAUGAGGAGAUGAAGAGUUGAUACAUGGAUAGAGGAAGGGAUUUGGAGCAGGUAGUAACUUUGGAGAUUUACCACAGUAACUAAAGUUACUGUGGUAACUAAGUUAAAAGACUUGGGAAGUUAGAUUCAUCCUGAUUUCAUUAGAAUGACGAUAUGAGAUUUAAGGAUAUAGAUGAUUAUCUGAGUUUAGAAAGGAUUAUAGAAGAGAAUAAGAGAUUAAGAGACAGAUUAGAGACUAAUGGAGAAUCAUAAUGAAAUGAGUAUAGAGAGAGAUUGUUUAGAACUGUCUAAUCUUUAUUAAGGGAUGAGAUUACAUAUAUAUAGGUCUAUACGCUUAGGGUUUUCGAAAUCAUAAGCAUGUAGAGUCAAAGGGGAGCCUAAGCUUUAAUUUGAACCGGCCAAUGGGUGUCUCCACACGUUUGAAGCAUCUUUCUUAUCCAAGACCAGAUGCUCUUCCUUUCCAGCCCUUUCCAGCCUGUCCUAGCUGUUGAAAUGAGCUGAGUAUAAGAAGAGAAGAGAGGAGGAGUUGGAGAACAUGAGAGAAGGUUCAGCUUGGGUGAGUUUUGGGAGUGAGGAUCAACCAGGCCGUACAAGACCGUACAUGGCCGUACAGGCCGUACAGUCUGGACGGACCAUGGUCGACCUUAACUCAACCAAAGGGAACUUAUGAUCACCCGAGUAAAAGGAAAGUGAAAGAGAAGUUACCUGAGCUUGCACCUAUGGAUCAGACCGUUGAAUAGGAAGAAAAGGAAGUCCAAGACAGGCUGGCACAGCUGUAAAGAGGAAAGGAUCUUGUCCAAGAUGCCUUGAUGCCAAAAGCGUGUAAAGCCUCCCAUUGGACAGUUUGAAAUGGGCGCUCCUUCUCCCUUUGACUACACAUGCUUAACCUAUCUGAUUCUCGCAAACCCUAUCUCUCUCUCCUUGUAUAUAUAUCAACUCAUGUCAUUAAUAAAAGAUUACACAGUUUGAGUCAUUCUCUCUCUCUUGUUCUUGAGUGUUCAUCAUGAUUCUUCACUAAUCUCUUCAUAAUCCAAUCUCAUUCUCUUAUUCUCUAAAUCACUCUAACUCUUUCUAUAAAUCUUAUAUGGUAUCAGAGCCAGGUUCCUCAUAGCCUGGUGUGUUCAUUCCGCAAAUCUUCAGCUUCAGUUCAGUACAAGAUCACGAUCUGAGUUAUGCAAGACAAGAUGGAAGGAAACAAGGUGCUGGCGGUUCCGGUUACAUUAAAAGGUGGUGGAAACUACCUGCUUUGGUCACGGCUGGUGAAGACAGUCAUUGGGAGCAAGGGUUUAUGGGGUCAUGUCACAGAUGGAGUCCCCAAACCAGUUGCUAUAGAUGGAGGAUCCACGGAGAUAGUUGUAGCCGAUCAAGAGAAGUGGGCGCAAGAGGACCUAAAGGUGUUGGCCGUGUUGCAAGGGUCACUUGAAGCUUCAAUCUUGGAGGCAUAUAGCUACUGCGAGACCCCAAAGGCGUUGUGGGAGACGCUUCAGAAAGUGUAUGGCAACAUCUCCAAUCUGAGCAGGGUGUUUGAAGUAAAGAGAGCUAUCAACACACUGAUGCAAGAAGAGGAGGAGUUCACUAAACACUUGGGAAAGUUCAGGGCCUUGUGGUCUGAACUAGAGAUGUUGAGGCCAAAUACCAAUGAUGAGGCUACGCUUAUGGAGAGGCGUGAGCAAGACCAAGUGUUUGGCUUGUUAUUGACACUGAAUCCGGUUUACAAGGAUGUGAUAAAGCAUAUGUUGAGGUCCCCAAAGCUCCCGUCCUUUGAUGAUGUGUGCGCACAGCUACAAAAGGAGGAUGACUCUCUUGGCCUGUUUGGUGGAAAGGGGGAGAUGACCUCGGCGAAUCAGGUUGAGACGGUCCAAGCAAACAAGGCGGCGUAUAAAGGAGAUGAGAGGAAGUUUGGUGGCAACUGUGACCACUGCAAGAAGCCAGGGCACAAGUGUUGAGAUGAGCUGAGUAUAUGGAGAUGAAGAGAUAAGGAGUUGAAGAGAAGAGGAGAUGAAGUACUUAGGGAAGUUUGGGAGAGUAUGGUACGGCAGGCCGUACAAGGCCGUACAAGGCCGUACAAGGCCGUACCAUCCAAACCUCAACCAAAACUUACCAUACCUUAUCCAAGUGAGACGGUAACUAAGGAGGAGUGACUUGGGUAGCUUAGGGAGAGGAUCAGACCGUUGAGAGGAUAAGGGAACGCGGUGCCAGGCUGGAACAGGCUGGAAAGCUGAAGCACCUUUAGUCCAAGAUGCCAUAAGCGUGUGAGCCAUCCUGACCAAUCAUUCAAAAGGCGCCCUUGACUCCACACGGUUGAAUAGUGCUCAGUUCCCUUCUUGUAAACCCUUGUGUCUCUCUUAUAAAUAUGUAACCUCACUCAUUAAUAAGAUUAAGCAAGUUUUGAGACUCUCUCUUAGUCUUUAAAUCUCAAUGGUUCCAUAUUAGACUCCUAAUCUCAUUUCAUACUCUAAUCUUCACUAAAUCGUUUCUAGUCUUUCCUAAACACUCAGAUUACUCUAAACAUUACUAAAAAUCAUAACAAGAGGAGUCAAUGCUGGAUCCUCCAUCCCCACCUCAAGCCAUCCAAGUUUGUUAAGGACCGAGAAGGAAGGGCUCAUCUCUCAGCUGAAUCAAGUGAGGCCGGAUCAUCAAGGGGAAGCAAUGGUGCUGGUGUGAGAGCUGAGGAGAGUGAUGUCAAGGCUAUGGCAUCUCAGCACACGUCCGGGAAGAGCAGUAUGGAGCAUGAGAUGAUCAGACGUUCUGACAUUGAUGCCCUCAUCAAGGCUCUCAAGGACAAUGGUAGUUCUCUUACUCAUACUCUAGGAUACUCAUAUGCUGCGUGUAGUAUACCUAGGAGUCUUGAAAACAUAGAAACUGAACUGAAAACCCCUAGAACAUCUAUUGCUAGAAUUGAAUCACCAAGUGGAUUUGCUGUUCAAAACAUGAUUAAACCUUUAAUUGUGGAUUCUGGUGCCUCUCAUCAUAUGAUAAGUGACACUAGUCUUAUAAAAGAUAUAGAACCAACUACUGGUCAUGUUAUGAUUGCAAAUGGUGAUAGGAUAGCAAUAAAAGGAAUAGGAAACCUGAAACUAUUUGAUAAGGAGUCUAAAGCUUUCUAUAUGCCUGAAUUUACAUCUAAUCUAUUAUCUGUCAAGAAAUGCACUACUAAUUUACAUUGCAAUGUUAUCUUUAGUCCUAAUGAUGUGAAGUUUCAGGAUAUUGAGAGUCAUAAGUUGAUUGGAAAAGGAGUAACCAAAGGAGAUCUCUAUAUGCUUGAAGACAUUGCUCCUGUUUCUAACCUUAGUUACUCGUUUCAAUCUGUUUCUGCUUUAAAAAAUAAUGCAUUGUGGCAUGCUAGACUAGGCCAUCCUCAUGUUAGAGCUGUGAGAUUUUCAGAGUACAAGUGCUUGAGUGAUGUAAGAACAGAUGAGAGAUUUGUGUAUGAUGAAGUAUGAAGAAUAGAAAUGAGUUUAAGAGAAUCAGAGAGAGUAUGGGAGAGACUAAGAGAUUAGGAACGUGUAUGGGAGAUUAGAGAGACUUAGUAACCAGAGUUUAUGAGAGAAUAAGAUCCAAGAACAAGUUUAUGAAGAAGAGAGACUCUCUCAGCUUAAAAGUUACAAAAUGAUCCUAAGAGGCUUAUUUAUGCCUUUACACAACUCAGAUCAUAAACCUAGAUCCUAAGGCUGUAAAUUAAAGAUAAAUGGAUGGUUAGGAUGAGAGGAAGCUGGUCUUUGAUGUUCUGGUGCUAGCUGGUCGUGGUUGGACUGAAUGGAGGGCUCAGAUUGCUUCAUUUGAAUUGGAUGGAUCAGAUGAGUCAAGGCUGUAAAGGUAAAGCACCUUUACCUUUCCAGCUCAUACCAACAGCUCACCUUAUCCAUUUGAUUCUUCCUUUGCCUCCAAGACUCCCCAACGGACACUAUAGGAAAGGAUAGAAUCAGAGUGAACCGCCCUCACAUUGCACAUCUUGAUGUUGAGAAGAGGAAGCCAUUAUGAGAAGGAAAGGUAGAGCUAAGCAAGUGAUGGGAAAGAGUACGGACAGUACGGCCUAGGUACGGACAGUACGGCCUAUGUACGGACAGGGGCUUGGCCGUACAUCUAAGGAAACAUAAAGGGAGAAGGAGAUGGGUGAGUAAAGCCUCUACAGCACACGGAGGGUCUCAAGACUGAUCAGACCGUUUAGGGAUAAGGGAAGGACGAGCCUUAUCCAUCCAGUCCGUGGACAGGCUGUAAAAGCAAAGGCAAAGCGUGUGAGCCUUACCGUCCAUUCAUUCAAAAGAAACGCUCCCUUUAGUCUUGACUACACAUGCUUAUGACUAGUGAUGUUUUCCCUUAACUUGUAAACCCUAAUGCCUCUUCUAUAAAUGAUGUAACCUCAUCUCAUAAUAAGAUUAGACAGUUCUAAACAAUCUCUCUCUAUACUCAUUUCAUUAUGAUUCUCCAUUAGUCUCUAAUCUGUCUCUUAAUCUCUUAUUCUCUUCUAUAAUCCUUUCUAAACUCAGAUAAUCAUCUAUAUCCUUAAAUCUCAUAUGGUAUCAGAGCCAGGUUGAUUGAAAUCUGAGUUCGUGAGUGACUCUCUUAAGGAUUCAAGUUUGAAACUUUAAGAGAACAAGUGAGUGUGUUUGAGAGUUUCUUUAGAGUUCAAAAGCUCAAAGUGUUUUGUGUGUGUCUCGGUGAUCCGUGGGAGGUUCAUUUGAAGACUCAAGAGUAAAUCUGUGUUCUAGAGAGCAGCGUGGGUUCUCAGUACAAGAUCUAACCGGUUGUUCAAGCUGUAGACGUCAAGCUGUUCAAGAUGGAAAGUAUUAUGAAGAUGAAGGUCGCGGUGACAUUCAAAGGAAGCAACUACCUAGUCUGGUCUAGGAUGGUGAAGACUGCUGUGGGAAGCAAGGGUUUGUGGAGGCAUAUCACGUCUGGUGAAGCUCCAAAGGCGAUUACUCAAGAGGGUGACGCAGAGAGCUCCGAGGAGAGUGUUGUGGAGAAGUGGCAACAAGAAGACAUGAUGGUAAUGUCAGUCCUUCAUGCCUCCUUGGAGCCGGCUAUCCUAGAUGCUUACAGCUACUGUGAGACAGCCAAGGAGCUGUGGGACACGCUGAAGAAGGUAUAUGGAAACGUUUCUAACCUGAACCGAGUGUUUGAAGUCAAGAAGGCAAUCAACGAGUUAACCCAAGAUGACAUGGAGUUUACUAAGCACUUGGGGAGGUUCAGGACACUGUGGUCUGAGCUGGAGAUGUUGAGACCAAGCACGGUUGAUCCAGAGCUUCUAAAUGAGAGGCGUGAGCAGGACAAGGUCUUUGGGUUGCUGCUCACAUUGAACGCAAGCUACAAUGGUCUCAUUCAACACAUGCUAAGGUCCGAGAAGCUACCUGAACUUGAGGAUGUUUGUGCUCAGAUACAGAGGGAGCAGGGCUCAAUGGGUUUGUUUGGAGGCAAGGGAGACUUAUCUCUUGCAAAUGUUGUGCAAUCUGACCGAGAAGAGCCUCCACAAGCUAACAAAGCUGGCUACAACAAGUAUGAGAAGUUCAAUGGGAACUGUGAUCAUUGCAAGAGGUAUGGGCACAAGAAGAUUCAGUGCUGGAUACUCCAUCCCCACUUGAAGCCGGCCAAGUUCAUGAAGGAGAGAGAGGCAAGAGCUCAUAUGACUGAAGGAUCAAGCGGAGCAGGGCCAUCCAACAAAGGAGCUGAGGUGGAGAACCGUGAAGGAAAUGGAAAAGCUUUGGUGACCUAUAUUGGAGCUAGCAAUCCCCGAGGCAAUGAUCAAGACUUCAUCAGGAGGUCCGAGAUGGAUGCACUCAUCAAAAUGCUCAAGGAUAAUGGUAACAUUCAUGGGCAUUCAUUUGGUGCUUCUUUGAUUGCUAGAACUAUAGAAAUGACUCACGGUGAGGCUGAGAUUGCUAGGACUGAUAGUAAGGCUGGAAUUGAGCAGUACAUUGAUAGAAAUGCUAGGAUGAAUGCAUAUAGAUCAAACUGUAUCUGCCAUCAUGCUAGCAAUGCAUACAAACCAUUGAUUAUAGAUUCAGGUGCAUCUCAUCAUAUGAUUAGUGACACCAACCUGAUUAAAGAUAUAGAACCUACUAAUGGAUGUGUGAUGAUUGCAAAUGGAGAUAAGAUACCUAUUAAGGGAAUAGGAAACUUAAAGCUAUUUGAUAAAAACACUAGAGCAUUUUAUAUUCCUGAAUUCACAUCAAAUCUACUUUCAGUUAAGAAAUGUACUACUGAUUUGAAUUGCAAUGUUAUAUUCAGUCCUAAUGAUGUGAAGUUUCAGGAUAUUGAGAGCAGCCAAUUGAUUGGAAAAGGAGUUACAAAGGGAGAGUUAUACAUGCUUGAGAAGCUUGAUCCUGUUUCCAAUCAUAACUGCUCAUUUACUUCUGCUUCUAGUUUGAAUAAAAAUGCAUUGUGGCAUGCUAGACUAGGUCAUCCCCAUGAGAGGGCUUUAAACUUGAUGUUACCAGGUGUGGUUUUUGAAAAUGAUAAGUGUGAAGCUUGCAUCUUAGGCAAGCAUUGUAAGAAUGUGUUUCCAAGAACAUCUACUGUUUAUGAAAAUUGCUUUGAUUUGAUUCAUACUGAUGUGUGGACUGCACCUAGUUUCUCUAGAGACAAUCAUAAGUACUUUGUCACAUUCAUUGAUGAAAAAUCUAAAUACACCUGGUUAACACUUAUUCCAUCAAAAGAAAGGGUGAUAGAUGCAUUCAAGAACUUUCAAGCUUAUGUGACUAACCAUUAUCAUGCUAAGAUUAAAAUUUUGAGAUCAGAUAAUGGAGGAGAGUACACAAGCUAUGCGUUCAAAAGUCAUCUAGAUCAUCAUGGAAUACUUCAUCAAACAAGCUGUCCCUACACACCACAACAGAAUGGUGUAGCUGAGAGGAAGAACAGGCACUUGAUGGAGGUGGCUCGAUCAUUGAUGUUCCAAGCCAAUGUACCUAAGAGAUUCUGGAGUGAUGCUGUAUCCACUGCUUGCUAUCUAAUCAACCGAAUGCCGACAAGGGUGUUGAAGGAUCAAGCACCAUUUGAGGUACUGAACAAGCGCAAGCCAUCUUUGGCAUAUAUGAAAGUGUUUGGAUGCUUGUGUUAUGUGUUGGUACCAGGAGAGUUGAGGAACAAGCUAGAAGCAAGAAGCCGAAAGGCAAUGUUCAUUGGCUACUCAACAACUCAAAAGGGAUAUAAGUGUUAUGAUCCAGAAGCUAGAAGGGUACUUGUAUCUAGAGAUGUGAAGUUCAUUGAAGAAAGAGGAUACUAUGAAGAGAAGAAUCAAGAAGACUUGAGGGACCUUACAUCAGAUAAGGCUGGAGUCUUAAGGAUUAUUUUGGAAGGUCUUGGUAUCAAGAUGAAUCAGGAUCAGUCCACAAAUAGACAACCAGAAGAGAGCUCAAAUGAACCAAGUAGAGCUGCUCAAACACCUCACCUUGAUCAUGAGGGGGGAAGUGAACCUGAAACUCAAGAAAAUGGCCAAGAAGGAGUCGGCUUGAGUGAAGAAGGAGAAGAGUUCAACUCAGGUUCUCAUCAUCAAGGUGAGCAAGACCAAGGAGAUGAAGCACAAGAACCGCAUAUACAAGAUGAGCUGGUUCAAGUGCAAGAACAACCAGUAUUGAGGAGAAGCACAAGGCUUAGAAAGGAUCCUUCCUCUUGGGUAAACACGCGAGUGUACUACAAUGCCCAAGCUGUGGAUCAUCCUUCUCAAGCUGUGUGUUCCUUUGCUCAAUACCCUGAAGAACAUUGUGCAUUCAUGGUUAACUUGGAUGAGAACUAUAUUCCAAGAAGCUAUGAAGAAGCAAUCAUGGAUAAAGAAUGGAAGGAAUCAGUUGGAGCUGAGGCAGGAGCCAUGAUCAAGAAUGAUACAUGGUAUGAGAGUGAGUUACCAAAAGGGAAGAAGGCUGUGAGUAGUAAAUGGAUAUUCACAAUCAAGUAUAAGGCUGAUGGAAAGGUUGAGAGGAAGAAGUCAAGGCUAGUAGCAAGAGGUUUCACUCAAACUUAUGGAGAAGAUUACAUAGAAACCUUUGCACCAGUAGCUAAACUACAUACAAUACGGAUUGUAUUAAGCUUGGCUGUGAAUCUUGGAUGGGGGUUAUGGCAAAUGGAUGUGAAGAAUGCAUUCUUACAAGGUGAACUUGAGGAUGAAGUAUAUAUGCAUCCACCUCCAGGCCUAGAACACUUAGUGAAGAGAGGGAAUGUGUUGAGAUUGAAGAAAGCUAUCUAUGGGCUGAAGCAAUCACCAAGAGCUUGGUACAACAAGCUGAGCACUACUCUGAAUGGCCGAGGCUUCAAGAAGUCUGAACUAGACCACACUCUCUUCACACUCACAACUCCCUCAGGUAUGAUUGCACUUCUUGUGUAUGUUGAUGAUAUCAUUAUCACAGGAAGUGAUAAGGAAGGUAUCAUAGCAACCAAGGAGUUCAUUAAAUCCAUGUUUGAGAUUAAAGAUUUGGGAGAAAUGAAAUACUUUCUUGGAAUUGAGAUAUGUAGAUCCAAGGAAGGUUUAUUCAUGUCCCAAAGGAAGUAUACACUUGAUCUUUUGAAAGGUGCAGGUGCUUAUGGAGGCAAGACUGCAAGGAUGCCUAUGGAGGAUGGUUACAAAGUCCCACGAGAGGGGGAGAUUGAAGACAGCAAACCUUAUCAGGAUCCUAAACUCUAUAGAAAACUAGUUGGCAAAUUGAUUUAUCUUACCAUAACUAGACCUGACAUUUGUUUUGCUGUCAAUCAGGUGAGUCAACAUAUGCAAGUUCCUAAGGAGCAUCAUUGGCGCAUGGUGGAGAGGAUCUUGAUGUAUCUCAACGGCUCACCUGAUCAAGGAGUAUGGAUGGGUUGCAAUGGAAGCACUGAAGUGGUUGGAUACUGUGAUGCAGAUUGGGCUGGUGAUAGAGCAGACAGGAGAUCAACCACAGGCUAUUGCACAUUCAUUGGAGGCAACUUGGUGACAUGGAAGAGUAAGCAUAGAGCUAUGCUGAAGCUUACCAACGAGUUGGUGUGGAUCAAAGGCAUCUUGAAGCAUUUGGAGAUUGAUCAAGCCACACCAAUGACAAUGCAUUGUGAUAACCAAGCAGUCAUUCACAUUGCAUCCAACUCGGUGUUUCAUGAGAGGACCAAGCACAUUGAAGUUGAUUGCCACAAGGUGAGGCAAAUGAUCAUCCUAGGAGUCAUCUUGCCAUGUUACACGAGGAGUGAAGAUCAGUUAGCUGAUGUGUUCACCAAGACUGCAAGACAGAAGACAAUGGAGUCCAUUCACAUCAGGUUGGGCCUCAUUGAUCUUGGGAAGAGAAGGAGCUGAUCCUCUUGGCUGUGAGGUCUUUACUCUUUUUCCCUCAUCAAGGUUUUGUCCCAAUGGGUUUUCCUUGGUGAGGUACUGAGUCAAGACAAGUAGAUUUCAAUCUCUAACAAUGACAAUUCAAGUUCUAGACACUACAUUGACAUCCUAGGUUAUUAUGAUUAUUAAGUUCUCUAAAUGCAAUGCAAGCUUACAUCAGUACAUUUGAAAUUUAGGCUCAUUUUUAAAUGCAUUACUACAUGAAUGCACAAUCUUAAAUCAUUAGCUAUAUGAAUGCAACAGGUUCAAUCCAUGAUUCAUAUCAAGGCUAUGCAAUGAGGAAGGUCUCAUAGCCAUCCAAGCUUAGGCUUUUACAAAGCUAAGCUUGAGGGGGAGUGUUGAGAUGAGUUGAGACAUGUGAAGUAAAGACACAAAGGAGUUGAGAUCAUAAGGAGAGCAAAAGGGUUAAGAGGCUGAAUAAGGUGAAGGGGAUGGUACGGAUGGAGAGGCCGUACCAGGCCGUACAAGUGACCAGGCCGUACAAGGUGAAAGCGGUCAAGUAACUAUCCAAGUAACUUUGAUGUACUGAGGAGAAGUUACACUCGGCCAAGACCUUAUCCGAACGUUGAGAGGAUAAGGAAGGCACGGCUUGACAGCUAGGACAGGCUGGCAAGGGCUGGAAAGGAAGAGCAUCUGGUCUUGGAUAAGAAAGAUGCUUCAAACGUGUGGAGACACCCAUUGGCCGGUUCAAAUUAAAGCUUAGGCUCCCCUUUGACUCUACAUGCUUAUGAUUUCGAAAAACCUAAGUGUAUGGACCUAUAUAUAUGUAAUCUCAUCCCUUAAUAAAGAUUAGACAGUUCUAAACAAUCUCUCUCUAUACUCAUUUCAUUAUGAUUCUCCAUUAGUCUCUAAUCUGUCUCUUAAUCUCUUAUUCUCUUCUAUAAUCCUUUCUAAACUCAGAUAAUCAUUUACAUCCUUAAAUCUCAUACUAUGCACAACAGUUUCAAUCAGAACCAAUGAUGCAAGCAACUUAGACAAUUUCUAAUUGAUGCAAGACUUUCAUUGAUGGAUUAAACAUAGGCAAUAGCAUCAGAUAACACUAGGAUUGAACUUAGACAGUAUGAGAUAUGCUUAUGUCUGCAAAAUAACUUAUCAAUCAUGAUGCAAGUAGCAGAGACAUUCUACUCAAUUCUACAACACAUUCAUGAUGAUUCAAGUUUAUGACCACACCCAAAACAAUGCAAUAAACAGACCGUGAGAUUCUGGGACUCUAGACAUUCAUUACUAUCAAUAAGACAAUGCAGCAGCAAAACAAUUUCAGUGCAAUUAGCCUAGACAUUCUACUAGAAGCUAUAAACUCUUAAUGGAAUUAGGGAAAGCACAUAGUAUAAUCAGGAGAUAAACCUAUCAAGACAUAUUAAGAUAGAUGAGAUUAGGUUUACUCCCUUGGUUAAGAUGAUAAGGAGUGGUUCUCAAAGUUGCCACUUGAAUCCUUACUUCUUCUUCUUCUCUUAUUGCAAUCACCCUUCUGAAUUCACCACCAUGAUGGAAUGCUUGUGGAUGCUUCAGCUACUUCUUCAAUCACCUCACAAUAGAAGCCGCCUUGAUAGAGUAGCCUUCUUCUUCCCACAGCCAAGAGUGCUCUGUCUUAGUUUGAGCACCCUCUUGAAUAGACACGCCACUGCCUAGACCCGGUUGGCUUCUUCUUCUGGUACUUGCAAUGUUAAGAAGAAGAACACCAGUGAGUUUUACAACCAUCUGUGCUUCUCCCUUCUUGUAACACCUCUCCAUUGUACACACAAUGGGCAUCAUUCUUUCUCUUUCAACUCGGAUUUGAUGAUGAACUAGGAACACCUUUUGUGAACCUGAAACAUCACUCAAACUCUAGGAAAGAUAAGACACAAUUGCAUUGGGAUCAAUCCUUGACUUCAUCAAGUUUGAUCACCAAUGUCUCAAGCUUUAUAGCAUUAGAUAGAAUCAAGACAAUGUCAAGUUCUUAUCUAUGCAAGCAACCAUUCUCUAAAUACUAAGCAAGACCUUAUCAGAUUCAAGUCAAAGUAUUUAGGCACUUUUAAACACUCCUUAAAAUGCAACUUAGACUUUAAUCUAAAUGCAACAAUACAAGACAGUAUGCAUUAAUCUUAAUCAGUUUCUAACUCAUAACAGCAAGCAUGAUAAUAUAAUCUAUCAUCUUAACAAGACAAUUUUAAUUUAGAACUGACAUUAAGCAUUUAACCAUUUUCAAUCUUAUUGAUGUCAAACCUUGAUUAAUAACUUAUCAAGUUUGAUUCCUACUAUCACAAGCAAUGCAACAGAUAGACACAAGGCAUUAUCAAGUUCUAUUCUUUGCAAGCUAACUCUCUAAGUACAAGCAUGAUCCUAACAGAUUCAAGACAAGUUACUUAGGCACUCUUAAGAGCUUCUUUACUCAGCACUUAGACAUGAAUCUAAUGCUUCAAUGUCAGACAGCCAGCGGAUUCAUUUCAUGAAAAACAAUCAGGUUUAGACGUCUACUAACUUCCUGACAAGCAUCAUUAUAUCCGGGACUACACAGUUCUCAGCAUUACUUCAAUCAAUUUCAGUUCAUGAGCACAGGAUUCAAACAAUAAGUUUUAAUAUCAUAGCAAACUCAUGACUGAACUAGAGCAAUCACUUUAUUCUUCAAAACACUAAACAAGCCUUUAAAGCAUCCUGGGAUAUACACAGCAUAUCAAUCACCACACCACCUCAACAUUUCUAUACUCAAGCUUUUUAAUAAAGAGGGAAAGAGAUCCAGCUUACAGCCAAGGAACUUUAACUAGUUCCUUGAAUCUCCAUGGUUCAUGGCCAGAUGUUGAGCUCUUGGUGUCGUAUAACACCCCUUCUUCUUUCAUGAACCAUCCUCUUGAACCCACCAUGGCUGAGACACCUACUUUCCUCCCUGUCAAGUCGCCAAAACCAGUCCCAAGUAGAAAGCUGUCACCUUUCUUCUUGAACCACCACUAAGACUCAAGGAUCUAGCUCUUGAAGAGUGUUGUCAAACCUCUUCAAGGCUUUGUUCUUCAGGGUCUCCUUUCUUCAGGUCGAGCUUGAUAGGUCAGGAUAGAGCACAUACAGCUUCUUAAGCACCUCGGAUGUGUUUAUCUUCCUCCUGAAGAUGAGCAAACGUUGGCUGGACCAAAGAGCUUCUUCUUUGCUUCAAACAGCCAUGGAAGUGGGCUUGAGCUUUGCGGAAGUUAGAUACCAGGUUCUGAUGAACCUGGCUCUGAUACCAUGAGAUUUUUAUAAGGAUUCACUCAAGGUGUGUGUGAGAAAGUGUUUAGGAGAGUUUAUGUGAACAGAUUUGAGACUUAGGAGUAUGGGGAGAGAUUUAGAGUAUGAAAGAGACUAGGUAACAAGAUUAAAGAGACUGAGAGACUUAGAGAAUAGAUUAGAGACUUAGUAUCAAGAACAGACUUUCAUAAAACAUGAAGGAGAAGGGUUUCCCCCCUUACUCACUUAAAGAUUACAAAAUGAUCAUAAGAGGCUUAUAUAUGCCUUUACACAACUCAGAUCACAAACCUAGAUCCUAAGGCUGUAAAUAAAAGAUAGAAUGGAUGGCAAGGAUGAGAGAAGACUGGUCUUGAUGUUUCUGGUGCUAGCUGGCGUGGCUGAUUCAAAUGGGAGGCUCAGAUUGCUUCUUUUGAAUGAAGGGAGGAGAUGAGUCUUGGCUGUAAAGGUAAAGCUUCUUUUCCCUUUCCAGCCUGUCUCUUGGACCACAAGAUGCUCAGGUAUAUUCCUUCCCUCCAUAAGCCUCCAACGGUCACUUAAGAUAGGAUUGGAUCCGAGUAAACCGCCCUCACAUUGCUCAUCUUUGAUUUAAGCUGAACCGGGUGACUUGGGCGUGUGGAGUGGCCGUACGGUUGAUGGUACGGACCUCCUGUCCGUACCACUAUCCCUAACUAUGCACAAUGCCUUAUCUCCUUCUUGACUGUCCCCAAACACCUUCAUGAUUCACCCUAGACCGUACAAGGCCGUACCAUGGCCGUACCACUCGCCCUAGCUUUGCACCUAUGGCCAUCUUCUCUCUAACUCCUCCAAACCCUUCACAUGAUCAGUCUAAGUCUUUCCUAGACUUAACUUCACAAGAUAACUACUUCAGAACACUUCUGAAGCUUUAUUGAACUCUUCUGGACAUCUUCUAGAGCUUGCCCUAUUAUUGUACAAGCUCUAUCUUCUCUUCAGUUCAACACUGGUUUGAUUAGAAUGACGAGGAAGUUGUCAUAUUCCCACGAGCUUGCCCUAUUAUUGUACAAGCUCUAUCUUCUCUUCAGUUCAACACUCCCCCUCAAGCUUGAAUUUAGGAGAUCCUAAGCCAAGCUUGGAACUCUGAAGAGUCUCCCUCAUUAAAAACCUUACAAGGAAAACCCAUUGGGACAAAACCUUGCAAGGGAAAAAGAGUAGAGCUCUCCACAGCCUAGGGAUUGGCCAGUGAGCUCUUGUGCCUUAGAACCAAUGUGGUUGGACACAAGAAGCUCUGGAUCACGGCCUAACAGGUGCAGCAACUCUUCACAGCUUUGCGCACACUUCACACUUCAGCUUCACCUCUUCAUGGAACCGGUUUGAAGUCUCCCCCUCUUCAUGGAACCGGUUUGAAGUCUCCCCCUCUCAACUGACUUCUCAGCCAUCUUAGAGAAGCUAGGACACGACCAGAUCAUCUUCAAAACACUAGUGAGACUGAUCAAUACUUCAAUACUUCACACCCGGCUUGCCCUCUUCAUAGACUAGGUUUAGGGUCUCCCCCUCUCAACAGACUUCACAGCCCCUUUAGAGAAGCUAGGAGAUUCCCCGGAGCUGUUUAAUGAGGCUACAAGCAAUGGUACCUGAUACAUUAUCCCAAAGGUGCAUCAGUACCUAUCAAAAACAAGAAAAUGAAUAUCCUGCAUCACACUUGAUGCACAUAAUUCCAUAAUUCAAUCAUGAUCAUCUUAAGUAUCUUUUCAAGCACAAGCAAUGAAUAAGAUGAAUGAAAAAGAUUGAAGAAAGAGUUUAAAAAGUCUAAGGGAACUUCCCUUGUGUUUUUGUGAGUUUCCUAACUCGGCCAAUGCACCAUCUUCAUGGCAUCAUCAACUUCUUGGAAAGGCAGAAUGGAUUCAUCAGCUUCUCCUCAAUCACCUCUCAUUGAAGCCGCAUUGAUGGAGAGCCUUCUUCCUCACUCGCCAAGACUGCUCUGAACAGCCUCUUACCUAGACACGCCACUGACUUGGUCCGGUUGAUGAUCCUUUGUAGAAGCCUUUGCAAAGACUUGUUACUGACCAUGGAUCAUAUGCAUUAAGACUCCUCCUCAAGCUUAGAACCGAGACUAUAAGGAGCUAAGCUUGUGAUGAUCCUAUGCAUCUCCAUGGUCUAAUAACUAUCAUCUUUCAUGAUAGCUUUCUUCUUGUGAGUUUACUCUCUUCCUUAACCAGGAACUAGGGUGUUUGAAUCACCAUAGAGAGUCUCACAAGACACACCUCUCAUUGCAUAAUGACCCAUGCUACACUUCCUAUAGACUAAGGACUAGAUAUGUCCAAUGGUAUCAUGCAAUGGCCAUCUCUCAUUGCAUACUCAAUCAAACUACACUUCCUGUAGACUAUGGACUAACAUGUCCUAGUGAUGAUAUGCAAUGGCGCAAGACCCUUGUCUUUACAUUCUUGGUUGUUGGCGAGUUACAUGUAUCACUUCUCUUGUGUACCUAACACCACCACAACUCAAUGCAAGAUCAGAUCAUCCCAUUGGGAUCAAACCAAGAUCAUCCAUCCUGUUUGAUCACCAAUGCCACAAUAAUAUAUGAUACUUGAAACAAGCUAGACAAUCAAGACAAGAAUAUGCAAAGACAAUGUAUGCUUUCAACAAUACACUGAUCCCUUUAGGUUCAAUUCAGUUUUUUUUAAAUGCAACAAUAGAUGAAUGCAUUAGAUUACACACUAACCAUAUGAAUGAACCAGAUUCAAUCCAAAUGAACACAAGACUAGAUGAUACUCAUGCAAUCAAGGCAAUAAGUGUGACUCAAUUCAUGCUUAUGCUCACUAGUUUUAUCACAGCCAAUGAUUCAAGUAGCUUAGACAUACUUCUAAAUGCUUAUAAGACAUCACUGAUGGAUUUAACUAUGGCAUAGCAACACUCAGAACUGGACUGAGUCAAGACAAGUAGAUUUCAAUCUCUAACAAUGACAAUGCAAGUUCUAGACACUACAUUGACAUCCUAGGUUAUUAUGAUUAUUAAGUUCUCUAAAUGCAAUGCAAGCUUACAUCAGUACAUUUGAAAUUUAGGCUCAUUUUUAAAUGCAUUACUACAUGAAUGCACAAUCUUAAAUCAUUAGCUAUAUGAAUGCAACAGGUUCAAUCCAUGAUUAAUAUUAAAGCUAUGCACAACAGUUUCAAUCAGAACCAAUGAUGCAAGCAACUUAGACAAUUUCUAAUUGAUGCAAGACUUUCAUUGAUGGAUUAAACAUAGGCAAUAGCAUCAGAUAACACUAGGAUUGAACUUAGACAGUAUGAGAUAUGCUUAUGUCUGCAAAAUAACUUAUCAAUCAUGAUGCAAGUAGCAGAGACAUUCUACUCAAUUCUACAACACAUUCAUGAUGAUUCAAGUUUAUGACCACACCCAACACAAUGCAAUAAACAGACCGUGAGAUUCUGGGACUCUAGACAUUACUUACAAUCAAUAAGACAAUGCAACAGCAAAACAAUUUCAGUGCAAUUAGCCUAGACAUUCUACUAGAAGCUAUAAACUCUUAAUGGAAUUAGGGAAAGCACAUAGUAUAAUCAGGAGAUAAACCUAUCAAGACAUAUUAAGAUAGAUGAGAUUAGGUUUACUCCCUUGGUUAAGAUGAUAAGGAGUGGUUCUCAAAGUUGCCACUUGAAUCCUUACUUCUUCUUCUUCUCUUAUUGCAAUCACCCUUCUGAAUUCACCACCAUGAUGGAAUGCUUGUGGAUGCUUCAGCUACUUCUUCAAUCACCUCACAAUAGAAGCCGCCUUGAUAGAGUAGCCUUCUUCUUCCCACAGCCAGAGUGCCCUGUCUUAGUUUGAGCACCCUCUUGAAUAGACACGCCACUGCCUAGACCCGGUUGGCUUCUUCUUCUGGUACUUGCAAUGUUAAGAAGAAGAACACCAGUGAGUUUUACAACCAUUUGUGCUUCUCCCUUCUUGUAACACCUCUCCAUUGUACACACAAUGGGCAUCAUUCUUUCUCUUUCAACUCGGAUUUGAUGAUGAACUAGGAACACCUUUUGUGAACCUGAAACAUCACUCAAACUCUAGCAAAGAUAAGACACAAUUGCAUUGGGAUCAAUCCUUGACUUCAUCAAGUUUGAUCACCAAUGUCUCAAGCUUUAUAGCAUUAGAUAGAAUCAAGACAAUGUCAAGUUCUUAUCUAUGCAAGCAACCAUUCUCUAAAUACUAAGCAAGACCUUAUCAGAUUCAAGUCAAAGUAUUUAGGCAAUUUUAACCAUUCCGUAAUAUGCAACUUAGACUUUAAUCUAAAUGCAACAAUAAACAGGGGCAGUAUGCAUUAAUCUUACUCAGUUUCUAACUCAUGAAGGCAAGCAUGAUUAGAUAAUACAAUCUAUCAUCUUAACAAGACAUGUUUAUUUAGAACUGACAUUAAGCAUUUAACCAUUUUCAAUAGUACUGAUGUCAAAUCUUGAUUAACAACUUAUCAAGUUUGAUUCCUACUAUCACAAGCAAUGCAACAGAUAGACACAAGGCAUUACCAAGUUCUAUUCUUUGCAAGCUAACUCUCUAAGUACAAGCAGGAUCCUAACAGAUUCAAGACAAGUUACUUAGGCACUCUUAAGAGCUUCUUUACUCAGCACUUAGACAUGAAUCUAAUGCUUCAAUGUCAGACAGCCAUUUGACAGUAUGCACUGACCUUAACCAGUUUCAAUUUAUGAAUGCAACAAUAUAAUCCAUCACACAUUCAUUUAUAACUUAGGCUAAGCAUUUCUAUCAUCACUUAACAUCAGACAAUGCAUUAUUUUCAAUCUGUUUUCAGUUCAUGAGCUUCAAACAAUACCAUUUCACAUUUAGCAAACUCAUUACUUAACAGGGGCAAGCAUUUUACUCUUUAAACACUAAACAAGCCUUUAAAGCAUCCUGGGACAGAUUCAACUAAUUUUUAUUUAGCAAUCACACAUUAUCCUCAGGUUUUUCAAUCAAUACACAUCACAAUAACCAGGCACAAUCACAAGUUCAUUUUUAAGAGAGAUAGGAUUAGCUUACAAACAAGGAACUAGCGCUAGUUCCUUGAGCCUCCUUUGCAACCGGUCAUGCUCUUUUAAUGGAUUGGAGAUGUUGAAUCUUCACCCAACAGCCCAUCCUGGUGUUCAUGACCGCUACUUGAACUUUCACCUCCAAAGGUUCCUCCUUUCUUCAUCUCUUGAACUCGCCAGCUUCUGGAACUAGGGAAAGAACUCUUCUUCAAAGGUUUCCUCUUGGACAGAAGGAAUGGCUCGCCUUGUAUGGACUGGAACAGGAAGGAACCGCCAUGAUAAACCUCCAUAAUAGCUUCAGACAUCUUCUUCUUGAAGUGAGAGAGCUGGCUGGACAGAUCUUCAUGGUUUGGCUUCAUGGUGAGACAGACUUGUGACUUGAAUGCGGAAGCUACAGCUCAGGCUUCAUGGUGAGACAGACUUGUGACUUGAAACACAUUCCUACAAUGCUUGCCUAAAAUGCAAGCUUCACAAUUUUUGUUUUCAAACACAACACCUGGUACCAUUAAGUUCAAAGCUUUAACAUGAGGGUGUCCUAUGAGAUUUUAUAAGGACUCACUCAAGGUGUGUGUGUGAGAAAGUGUUUAGGAGAGUUUAUGUGAACAGAUUUGAGACUUAGGAGUAUGGGAGAGAUUUAGAGUAUGAAAGAGACUAGGUAACAAGAUUAAAGAGACUGAGAGACUUAGAGAAUAGAUUAGAGACUUAGUAUCAAGAACAGACUUUCAUAGAACAUGAAGGAGAAGGGUUUCCCCCCCUUACUCUCUUACUUAAUCAAAUCGCAUACAAGAGGCUUUUAUAAGCCUUUACAUGUCACAAAGACUUAACCUAAAUCCUAAGGACAAGAAUACAAGAUAGAUUGAAUGGCUAGGAUGAGAGAAGAGUGGUCUUUGAUGUUCUGGUGAUAGCUGGCGACUUUUGACUGAAUGGAGAGCUCAGAUUGCUUCAUUUGAAUGAAGGGAAGAGAUUGGUCUUGCUGUAAAGGUAAAGCACCUUUACCUUUCCAGCUUGCACAUACAGCUCACUCUUAUCCCUUUGGUAUAUUCUCCUUGCCUCUCACACUCCAACGGUCACUAUAGGAACCUUAACCCGCGCCCACACAUUGCACAACUCUGAACAAGGCUGAUCCGGGUGAUGGCCAAACCGGAUUGGAUGUACGGUCUCUUGUACGGCCUUGAGGUCCGUACACUCGCCCUAUAUCUGCACCUUCAUCCAAACAUCUUCUAUGAUUGACCCAUACACCUUCUUGGAUCGCCCUAGGCCGUACCAUGGCCGUACUGGCCCUAUCUUUGCACCAUACUUCCAUCUUCUCUCUAACUCCUCCAAAGCCUUCACAUGAUCAGUCUAAGUCUUUCCUUGACUUAACUUCACAUAACUACUUCAGAACUUCUCUGAAGCUUGAUUGAACUCUUCUUGACAUCUUCUAGAGCUUGCCCUACUAUUUGUACAACUCCAUCUUCUCUUCAGUUCAACAUCCUACUCUAGCAUGCCACAAUGCAUGUUUAUUCAACAAAGAAGCAGAAGUAAACGAGCAACUAUAAUCAGGAACAGAAGUGAGUUCUUCAAGCAUAUAGAGAUCUCCUUUAGUCACUCCUUUCCCAAUCAAUCUACUGCUCUCAAUAUCCUGAAAUUUCACAUCAUUAGGACUAAAGAUAACAUUGCAUUGUAAAUCAUUAGUACAUUUCUUUACAGAUAAUAGGUUUGAUGUGAAUUCAGGCAUGUAAAAAGCUUUAGAUUCUUUGUUAAACAACUUAAGCUUCCCUAUUCCCUUAAUAGGUAUCUUAUCUCCAUUUGCUAUCAUUACAUGCCCAUGAGUAGGUUCUAUAUCCUUAAUCAGUUUCUCAUCACUUAUCAUAUGAUGUGAUGCACCAGAAUCAAUAAUCAAUGGUUUAUCUACUCGUUUAGCAUUAUGACAUAGAUUACUAAGUGAUGGAGACAUCCUAUCAUUUCUAGCAAUGUGUGCAUAUCUAUACUCAUUCCUAGCUUCUAACCGUUCUACUAGUUCUCUAAUCAAGUGAUCAUCCUUAUAUGCAAUCAUAGAGGCUCCAAAGGAAUAACCAUAAGUGUUACCGUUUUCCUUUAGCAUUUUGAAGAGUGCAUCAAGGUCUGAUCUCCUGAUGUAGUCAUUGUUGCUGCAUGAGCUUGAGGCGCCUGUGUAAGCCACCAGAGACUUCCCAUUCCCAUCAUUGCCUCCAUGACCAUCCACCUCACUUGUCUUGAUGGUGCCAGCUCCACUUGAUCCUUCAGUCACAUUUGCCCUUCCCUCACGCUCCUUCAUGAACUUGGCCGGCUUGAGGUGUGGGUGUAGUAUCCAACAUUGGCUCUUCUUAUGACCAUGCUUCUUGCAAUGAUCACAGUUACCAUUGAACUUCCUGUCCUCAUACUUCCCGUGAGAUGCCUUGUUAGCUUGUGGAGCUUCGGUUAAGUCCUCAUGAGCUGCCUGAUUGGCAAGAGAGAGCUCCCCCUUUCCUCCAAACAACCCCAUAGACCCUUGCUCCCUUUGGAUUUGCGCACACACAUCCUCAAGGUCCGGAAGCUUGUCAGCCCGUAACAUGUGCUGGAUGAGUUGAGUGUAGGCCGGGUUCAACGUGAGAAGCAGCCCAAAGACCUUAUCUUGCUCACGCCUCUCAUUCAACUGAUCAGGAUCAGUUGUGCUCGGCCUCAACAUCUCCAGUUCUGACCAUAAAGACCUGAACCUUCCCAAGUGCUUAGUGAACUCCAUAUCCUCUUGUACUAGACGGUUGAUAGCUUGCUUCACUUCAAACACACGGCUGAGGUUGGAGAUGUUCCCAUACACCUUCUUCAGCGUGUCCCACAGCUCCUUGGCUGAUUCACAGUAGCUGUAGGCAUCCAAGAUAGCUGGAUCCAAGGAUGCGUGUAAAACCGUCAUCACCAGCAUGUCUUCUUGUUGCCAUUUCUCUACAGCCACUUCAUUGGAGACUUCUUCUUGAUCUCCUCCCUGAGUAAUGAGUUUCGGAGCCUCCCCUGUUGUGAUGUGCCCCCACAAACCCUUACUUCCCACCGCAGUCUUCACCAUCCGAGACCACACAAGGUAGUUGUUACCUUUGAAAGUAACCGCUACCUUCAUCCUCAUGUUCAUACCAUGUUCCAUCUUUGCUCAGCUUGACUUGAACAGCUUGAAUCUGAUGAAAUCUUGAGUCUUGAAUCACGUACACACACCAAUCUUGAGUCUAGGAUCGCGUAAACACACACUGAACGUAGCACAGCCCAAACACCUUCAAAGCCACUCGCGUGUAGCUUCAAAGCCUUCAGCUUGUAACUCUCUAAAGAUCAAACCCCAGAUUCUAAUGAACCUGGCUCUGAUACCAUAUGAUAUUUAGAGAUCCUUAGAGUAACUAGAAUAUAAGUAAGAGUUUAAGUAGAGAUUAGGAAGAGAUUGUGAAAGAUUAAGAGACUUGAGAGCUGUUUAGUGUCUAAGAGAGAAUCAUGGUGACUUAGGAAAUUAGAGAGAGACUCAGAACUGUAUGAUAUUAUUAAUGAGUGAGGUUACAUAUUUAUAUUGUUCUAGACAUUAGGGUUUUCGAAACACAAGAGUAGAUAAGCAUGUGAGGUCAAGGGAAGAGCCUUUGCUUUUGUUUGAACCGGCCAAUGACUAGCUUCACACGUUCGGGCAUCUUCCUGAUCCUGGUCCAAGAUUCUCUUCCUUUCCAGCCCUUGCCAGCCUGUCCUAGCUGUCAAGCCGCGCCUCCCUUAUCCACUCCAACGUCUGGAUAAGCUUUUGGUCGAGUGUAACUUCACCUCGGUCCAUAAGAGUUACUCGGUGAAGUUACCAUCCUAGUUUUACCUUGGUACGGUCAGUGUACGGAUGGCCCGUCCGUACCAUGCCUUAGUUUACUCUUAACUCCCUUUCCUUUCACACCUUAGCUUUCUCAUGUCCUUAACUCCUCAAUGCCUUCACAUAUACCUCAACACAUCUCAACACUCCCCCUCAAGCUUAGCUUUAUGAUAGUCUAAGCUUGGACAGCCAUGAGAUCUUCCUCAUUAAAAACUUCACCAAAGAAAACCCAUUGGGACAAAACUUUGAUGAGGGAAAAAGAGUAAAGACCUCAUGACUUAGGGGAUCAGGUCCUUCUCUUCCCAAGAUCUAUGAGUCCCAAUCUAAUGUGAAUGGACUCCAUAGUCUUUUGUCUUGCAGCCUUAGUGAACACAUCAGCUAACUAAUCUUCACUCCGAGUGUAGCAUGGUAAGAUGACUCCUAGGAUGAUCAUCUGCCUCACCUUGUGACAAUCAACUUCAAUGUGCUUGGUUCUCUCAUGAAACACCGAGUUGGAGGCAAUGUGAAUAGCUGCUUGGUUAUCACAAUGCAUUGUCAUAGGUGCGGCUUGAUCAAUCUCCAAAUGCUUCAAGAUGCCUUUGAUCCACACCAGCUCGUUGGUCAGCUUCAGCAUAGCUCUAUACUCAGCUUCAGCACUUGAGCAAGAGACCACCUUCUGCUUCUUACUCUUCCAUGUAACUAAGUUGCCUCCAAUGAAUGUGCAAUAGCCGGUUGUUGAUCUCCUAUCAGCUCUAUCUCCUGCCCAAUCAGCAUCACAAUAGCCCACCACUUCAGUGCUUCCAUUGCACCCCAUCCAGCCCCCUUGAUCUGGCGAGCCAUUCAGAUACAUCAGUAGCCUCUCCACCAUGUGCCAAUGAUGUUCCUUGGGAAGCUGCAUAUGUUGACUCACCUGAUUCACAGCAAAACAUAUGUCAGGUCUUGUGAUGGUAAGGUAAAUCAAUUUGCCAACAAGUUUUCUAUAGAGUUUAGGAUCAUGAAAUGGCUUGCUGUCUUCAAUCUCCCCCUCUCUUGGUACUUUGUAGCCAUCCUCCAUAGGCAUCCUUGCUGUCUUGCCUCCAUAAGCACCUGCAUAUUUCAAAAGAUCAAGUGUAUACUUCCUUUGGGACAUGAAUAACCCUUCCUUGGAUCUACAAAUCUCAAUUCCAAGAAAGUAUUUCAUUUCUCCCAAAUCUUUGAUUUCAAACAUGGAUUUGAGAAACUCCUUGGUUGCUUUGAUACCCUCCUUAUCACUACCUGUGAUAAUGAUAUCAUCCACAUACACAAGGAGAGCAACCAUACCUGAGGGUGUAGUGAGGGUGAAGAGUGUGUGAUCUAACUCUGACUUCCUGAAGCCACGUCCAUUCAAAGUUGUGCUCAACUUGUUAUACCAUGCUCUUGGUGACUGCUUUAAGCCAUAGAUAGCCUUCUUUAACCUCAGUACAUUCCCUUUCUUCACUAGAUGGUCUAGACCUGGCGGAGGAUACAUGUAGACUUCAUCCUCAAGUUCCCCUUGUAAGAAUGCAUUCUUUACAUCCAUUUGCCAUAAUCCCCAUUCAAGAUUAACCGCCAAGCUUAGAACAAUCCUAAUGGUGUGUAGCUUAGCUACAGGGGCAAAUGUCUCAAUGUAAUCCUCCCCAUAUGUCUGAGUGAACCCUCUUGCUACUAAUCUAGUUUUCUUCCUCUCAAUCUGUCCAUCAGCCUUGUAUUUGAUUGUGAAGAUCCAUCUACUAGACACUGCCUUCUUCCGUUUUGGUAGUUCACUCUCAUACCAUGUAUCAUUCUUUAUCAUAGCUCCUGCCUCAGCUCCUACUGAUUCCUUCCAUUCCUUAUCCUUCAUUGCCUCUUCAUAGCUUCUUGGGAUGUGAUUCUCAUCCAAGUUUACCAUGAAAGCACAAUGUGCUUCUGGAUAUUGAGCAAAGGAGCACACGACUUGAGAAGGAUGCUCCACAGCUUGGGCAUUGUAGUACACUCUCGUGUUUACCCAGCUAGAAGGAUCCUUCUUUAUCCUUGUACUCCUUCUUAGUGGCUGCACAACCGGUUCUUCUUCCUGUGCUUCUUCUACCACUUCGUUUUGAGAAGGUGUUUGUAUCACACCAUGAUCAUGCCCAUGACCAUCAGAACCUAUGCUCUCUUCUCCUUCGUUCUCUACUCCUCCUUCAUCUUGGUUAGCCUCUUGUAUAGGCUCUUCAUGCUCCUCUCCUCCCUCAUGAUCAAGGUGGGAUGGUGAACCAACUUCAGGAGGUGUAGUUGUGUGAUCUCUUGGAUCCUGGGAUGUACUGAUUCCAAGACCUUCAAGGAUGAUCCGCAAGGUGGUGGCCUUGUCUGAUGUUAAGUCCUUCAGGUCUUCUUGAUUCUUUUCUUCAUAGUACCCUCUAUCUUCUAAGAACUUCACGUCUCUAGAUACAAGUACUCUUCUUGCUAUAGGAUCAUAGCACUUGUAUCCUUUCUGUGUAGCUGAGUAUCCUAUGAAUACAGCCUUGGUACUUCUUGCUUCUAGCUUGUUGCGCAUCUCUCCUGGUUUGAGCACAAAGCAUAGACAUCCAAAGACUUUCAAGUAAUCAAGAACUGGCUUGUACUUGUUUAGAACUUCAAAUGGAGCCUUCUCACUCAGAAUCUUGGUUGGAGUUCUAUUGAUCAAGUAACAAGCAGUGGCAACCGCAUCACUCCAAAAUCUCUUUGGAACGUUACUCUGAAACAUAAGUGACCUUGCCACCCCAUGAGGUGCCUAUUCUUCCUCUCAGCCACUCCAUUUUGCUGUGGAGUAUACGGACAACUUGUUUGAUGUAGAAUCCCAUAUUGUGAUAAGUGUUGCUUGAAUGCAUUGCUUGUGUACUCUCCUCCAUUAUCUGAUCUCAAAAUUUUAAUCUUAGCAUGAUAAUGGGUAGUCACAUAAGUUUGAAAGUUCCUAAAUGCAUCAAGCACCCUAUCUUUGGUCUGAAUUAAGGUUAACCAGGUGUAUUUGGAUUUUUCAUCAAUGAAUGUGACAAAAUACUUAUAGCUAUCUCUAGAUAAGCAAGGGGCAGUCCACACAUCUGAAUGAACUAGAUCAAAGCAAUUCUCAUAAACGGUAGUAGACUUUUGAAACACAUUCCUACAAUGCUUGCCUAAAAUGCAAGCUUCACAAUUUUUGUUUUCAAACACAACACCUGGUACCAUUAAGUUCAAAGCUUUAACAUGAGGGUGUCCUACUCUAGCAUGCCACAAUGCAUGUUUAUUCAACAAAGAAGCAGAAGUAAACGAGCAACUAUAAUCAGGAACAGAAGUGAGUUCUUCAAGCAUAUAGAGAUCUCCUUUAGUCACUCCUUUCCCAAUCAAUCUACUGCUCUCAAUAUCCUGAAAUUUCACAUCAUUAGGACUAAAGAUAACAUUGCAUUGUAAAUCAUUAGUACAUUUCUUUACAGAUAAUAGGUUUGAUGUGAAUUCAGGCAUGUAAAAAGCUUUAGAUUCUUUGUUAAACAACUUAAGCUUCCCUAUUCCCUUAAUAGGUAUCUUAUCUCCAUUUGCUAUCAUUACAUGCCCAUGAGUAGUUUCUAUAUCCUUAAUCAGUUUCUCAUCACUUAUCAUAUGAUGUGAUGCACCAGAAUCAAUAAUCAAUGGUUUAUCUACUCGUUUAGCAUUAUGACAUAGAUUACUAAGUGAUGGAGACAUCCUAUCAUUUCUAGCAAUGUGUGCAUAUCUAUACUCAUUCCUAGCUUCUAACCGUUCUACUAGUUCUCUAAUCAAGUGAUCAUCCUUAUAUGCAAUCAUAGAGGCUCCAAAGGAAUAACCAUAAGUGUUACCGUUUUCCUUUAGCAUUUUGAAGAGUGCAUCAAGGUCUGAUCUCCUGAUGUAGUCAUUGUUGCUGCAUGAGCUUGAGGCGCCUGUGUAAGCCACCAGAGACUUCCCAUUCCCAUCAUUGCCUCCAUGACCAUCCACCUCACUUGUCUUGAUGGUGCCAGCUCCACUUGAUCCUUCAGUCACAUUUGCCCUUCCCUCACGCUCCUUCAUGAACUUGGCCGGCUUGAGGUGUGGGUGUAGUAUCCAACAUUGGCUCUUCUUAUGACCAUGCUUCUUGCAAUGAUCACAGUUACCAUUGAACUUCCUGUCCUCAUACUUCCCGUGAGAUGCCUUGUUAGCUUGUGGAGCUUCGGUUAAGUCCUCAUGAGCUGCCUGAUUGGCAAGAGAGAGCUCCCCCUUUCCUCCAAACAACCCCAUAGACCCUUGCUCCCUUUGGAUUUGCGCACACACAUCCUCAAGGUCCGGAAGCUUGUCAGUCCGUAACAUGUGCUGGAUGAGUUGAGUGUAGGCCGGGUUCAACGUGAGAAGCAGCCCAAAGACCUUAUCUUGCUCACGCCUCUCAUUCAACUGAUCAGGAUCAGUUGUGCUCGGCCUCAGCAUCUCCAGUUCUGACCAUAAAGACCUGAACCUUCCCAAGUGCUUAGUGAACUCCAUAUCCUCUUGUACUAGACGGUUGAUAGCUUGCUUCACUUCAAACACACGGCUGAGGUUGGAGAUGUUCCCAUACACCUUCUUCAGCGUGUCCCACAGCUCCUUGGCUGAUUCACAGUAGCUGUAGGCAUCCAAGAUAGCUGGAUCCAAGGAUGCGUGUAAAACCGUCAUCACCAGCAUGUCUUCUUGUUGCCAUUUCUCUACAGCCACUUCAUUGGAGACCUCUUCUUGAUCUCCUCCCUGAGUAAUGAGUUUCGGAGCCUCCCCUGUUGUGAUGUGCCCCCACAAACCCUUACUUCCCACCGCAGUCUUCACCAUCCGAGACCACACAAGGUAGUUGUUACCUUUGAAAGUAACCGCUACCUUCAUCCUCAUGUUCAUACCAUGUUCCAUCUUUGCUCAGCUUGACUUGAACAGCUUGAAUCUGAUGAAAUCUUGAGUCUUGAAUCACGUACACACACACUGAACGUAGCACAGCCCAAACACCUUCAAAGCCACUCGCGUGUAGCUUCAAAGCCUUCAGCUUGUAACUCUCUAAAGAUCAAACCCCAGAUUCUAAUGAACCUGGCUCUGAUACCAUAUGAUAUUUAGAGAUCCUUAGAGUAACUAGAAUAUAAGUAAGAGUUUAAGUAGAGAUUAGGAAGAGAUUGUGAAAGAUUAAGAGACUUGAGAGCUGUUUAGUGUCUAAGAGAGAAUCAUGGUGACUUAGGAAAUUAGAGAGAGACUCAGAACUGUAUAUCCUUAUUAAUGAGUGAGGUUACAUAUUUAUAUUGUUCUAGACAUUAGGGUUUUCGAAACACAAGAGUAGAUAAGCAUGUGAGGUCAAGGGAAGAGCCUUUGCUUUUGUUUGAACCGGCCAAUGACUAGCUUCACACGUUCGGGCAUCUUCCUGAUCCUGGUCCAAGAUGCUCUUCCUUUCCAGCCCUUGCCAGCCUGUCCUAGCUGUCAAGCCGCGCCUCCCUUAUCCACUCCAACGUCUGGAUAAGCUUUUGGUCAAGUGUAACUUCACCUCGGUCCAUAAGAGUUACUCGGUGAAGUUACCAUCCUAGUUUUACCUUGGUACGGUCAGUGUACGGAUGGCCCGUCCGUACCAUGCCUUAGUUUACUCUUAACUCCCUUUCCUUUCACUCCUUAGCUUUCUCAUGUCCUUAACUCCUCAAUGCCUUCACAUAUACCUCAACACAUCUCAACAUGACCCAUGCUACACUUCCUGUAGACUAAGGACUAGAUAUGUCCAAUGGUAUUAUGCAAUGGCCAUCUCUCAUUGCAUACUCAAUCACACUACACUUCCUGUAGAUUAUGGACUAACAUGUCCUAGUGAUGAUAUGCAAUGGCGCAAGACCCUUGUCUUUACAUUCUUGGUUGUUGGCGAGUUACAUGUAUCACUUCCCUUGUGUACCUAACACCACCACAACUCAAUGCAAGAUCAGAUCAUCCCAUUGGGAUCAAACCAAGAUCAUCCAUCCUGUUUGAUCACCAAUGCCACAAUAAUAUAUGAUACUUGAAACAAGCUAGACAAUUAAGACAAGAAUAUGCAAAGACAAUGUAUGCUUUCAACAAUACACUGAUCCCUUUAGGUUCAAUUCAGUUUUUUUUUUUUUUUUUUUUUUUAAAUGCAACAAUAGAUGAAUGCAUUAGAUUACACACUAACCAUAUGAAUGAACCAGAUUCAAUCCAAAUGAGCACAAUUCAAAUGAACACAAGACUAGAUGAUACUUAUGCAAUCAAGGCAAUGAGCGUGACUCAAUUCAUGUUUAUGCUUACUAGUUUUAUCACAGCCAAUGAUUCAAGUAGCUUAGACAUACUUCUAAAUGCUUAUAAGACAUCACUGAUGGAUUUAACUAUGGCAUAGCAACACUCAGAACUGGACUGAGUCAAGACAAGUAGAUUUCAAUCUCUAACAAUAACAACCUAGGUGAUUAUGAUUAUCAAGUUCUCUAAAUGCAAUGCAAGUUUACAUCAGUACAUUUGCAAUUUAGGCUCAUUUUUAAAUGCAUUACUACAUGAAUGCACAAUCUUAAAUCAUUAGCUAUAUGAAUGCAACAGGUUCAAUCCAUGAUUGAUAUUUAAAGUUAUGCACAACAGUUUCAAUCAGAACCAAUGAUGCAAGCAACUUAGACAAUUUCUAAUUGAUGCAAGACUUUCAUUGAUGGAUUAAACAUAGACAAUAGCAUCAGAUAACACUAGGAUUGAAUUUAGACAGUAUGAGAUAUGCUUAUGUAUGCAAAAUAACUUAUCAAUCAUGAUGCAAGUAGCAGAGACAUUCUACUCAAUUCUACAACACAUUCAUGAUUAUUCAAGUUUAUGACCACACUCAAGACAAUGCAAUAACAACACAAUUUCAGUGCAAUUAGCCUAGACAUUCUACUAGAAGCUAUAAACUCUUAAUGAAAUUAGAGAAAGCACAUAGUAUAAUCAGGAGAUAAACCUAUCAAGACAUAUUAAGAUAGAUGAGAUUAGGUUUACUCCCUUGUUUAAGAUGGUGAGGAGUGGUCUCUUCAUUUCGCCACUUAAGUCCUCACUUGCUAAGCUUAACAGCUUCUCCUUUUAAUCACACAGGCUUACUAACAACCUUGUGGGAACACCUCCAUCUUCUUCAGACUUGAUGCUUACUUCCCCACUUAACCACCAUUGCACUGAGGAGAUACCUCAGCUUACUCUCCAAGUACUUCUUAUUAGAAGCUCAUUGAGUGGCUUUCUUCUUCCCUCUACUUCGGCUGCAUCAACACAUGAUCAGCUUGCAAUGGCCUUGAGGAACCAGGUCAUUGAGCUUAGAGGAUCUUCUGGUAGCUCACUUGAGUCCACACCUCAAGCUUGACUGAGUGUAGGUGCAAGCUUGAAGUGAGUCUCAAUGAGACUUCAAACCGGGAGCGCAUCACUACCUACAGCUGCGCUUAACCCAACCGAUCUGCCAUUGCCUUCAGCUCCAAUGCGUUCAGGUCAUCAGUCUCCCCAAGACUUAGGUGAUGACCUUUACUUGUGUGUCUCCAUGAACCAGGAGCUCAUCACUAUUACUAGCUGCGCUAUCUCAACCGGCCAUACACACAAGUUUUUCUCCAUUGCUUUAACAAUGGCAAAGUCUUCCUCUUCUACUUGGAUGGAUGGUGAGCAAAGAACACUUCUUGUGAACCUGAAACACCACUCAAACUCCAGCAAAGAUAAGACACAAUUGCAUUGGGAUCAAUCCUUGACUUCAUCAAGUUUGAUCACCAAUAUCUCAAGCUUUAUAACAUUAGAUAGAGUCAAGACAAUGUCAAGUUCUUAUCUAUGCAAGCAACCAUUUUCUAAAUACUAAGCAAGACCUUAUCAGGUUUAAGUCAAAGUCUUUAGGCAAUUUUAAUCAUUCCUUAAUAUGCAACUUAGACUUCAAUCUAAAUGCAACAAGGCAGUAUGCAUUAAUCUUACUCAGUUUCUAACUCAUGAAGGCAAGCAUGAUUAGAUAAUAUAAUCUAUCACCUUAACAUGACAUGUUUAUUUAGAACUGACAUUAAGCAUUUAACCAUUUUCAAUAGUAUUGAUGUCAAAUCUUGAUUAACAACUUAUCAAGUUUGAUUCCUCCUAUCACAAGCAAUGCAACAGAUAGACACAAGGCAUUAUCAAGUUCUAUUCUUUGCAAGCUAACUCUCUAAGUACAAGCAGGAUCCUAACAGAUUCAAGACAAGUUACUUAGGCACUCUUAAAAGCUUCUUUACUCAGCACUUAGACAUGAAUCUAAUGCUUCAAUAUCAGACAGCCAUUUGACAUUAUGCCCUAACCUUAACCAGUUUCAAUUCAUGAAUGCAACAAUAUAAUUUAUCACACAUUCAUUUAUAACUUAGGCUAAGCAUUUCUAUCAUCACUUAACAUCAGACAAUGCAUUACUUUCAAUCUGUUUUCAGUUCAUGAGCUUCAAACAAUACCAUUUCACAUUUUAGCAAACUCAUUACUUAACAGGAGCAAGCAUUUUACUCUUUAAACACUACACAAGCCUUUAAAGCAUUUUUUUUUUUUUUUUUGUUUUUAUUUAGCAAUCACACAUUAUCCUCAGGUUUUUCAAUCAAUACACAUCCCAACAACCAGGCACAGUCACAAGUUCAUUUUUAAGAGAGAUAGGAGUAGCUUACAAACAAGGAACUAGUGCUAGUUCCUUGAGCCUCCUUUGCAACCGGUCAUGCUCUUUUAAUGGACUGGAGAUGCUGAAUCUUCACCCAACAGCCCCUCCUGGUGUUUAUGACCGCUACUUGAACUUUCACCUCCAAAGGUUCCUCCUUUCUUCAUCUCUUGAACUCGCCAGCUUCUGGAACUAGGGAAAGAACUCUUCUUCAAAGGUUUCCUCUUGGACAGAAGGAAUGGCUCGCCUUGUAUGGACUGGAACAGGAAGGAACCGCCAUGAUAAACCUCCAUAAUAGCUUCAGACAUCUUCUUCUCGAAGUGAGAGAGCUGGCUGGACAGAUCUUCAUGGCUUGGCUUCAUGGUGAGACAGACUUGUGACUUGAAUGCGGAAGCUACAGCUCAGGUUCUGAUGAACCUGGCUCUGAUACCAUGUGAGUUUAAAAGGAUUCACUCAAGGUGUGUGUGUAAGAAAGUGUUUAGGAGAGUUUAUGUGAACAGAUUUAAGACUUAGGAGUAUGGGGGAGAGAUUUAGAGACUUAGUAUCAAGAACAGACUUUCAUAGAACAUGAAGGAGAAGGGUUUCCCCCCUUACUCACUUAAGGCUUACAAUUCGCCCUAAUGGGGUCUUUAUAUAGAAACAGGUUACAAACUCAUGAAACCCUAAAGUAAUAGAUAAGACAUGAAGGGUGGAGAUGCUCUGAUUUGAAUUGGACGAUCUUGAUUCAGUCUUGUGGUCUUUGCAGCUUGUUGUUGUCGCCUGAUUGGAUGUGGGAAGGCAAGGCUAGAAAUGCUCCACACAGCCUUAUGUAUCUGCCCUCUUCUUUGGCCAGAUACUUGGUCAAGCCUUGCUCUUCCUUUACAGCUCUUUACAGCCUGUCCUUAGACCACUACAACCAAUCCCAUAACCCACAGACUGGCGCCAACUCUUAUUUGAAUCUUCUUGCCUCCAAAGCAUCUUCUUGUUCCAUUUGAUGCUUCUCACCAUCCCGGACUUUGCACAUUCAUAUUAGAGCUUCUCCUUGGCUGUACGGACUUGCCAUAACCGUACACCAAUGCCCUAUAUUUGCACAGCCCUCAAAUAGCUUCAAAUGGCCGAGUACAUAAGUUUUGAGUCGAUAAUGUCCGUACGGACCGUACCAUCCGUACGGCCGUCUGUACCGGCCUCGCCCUAACUUUGCACGUUCAACCAUUCACCUCCAUACUUCUUCCAUGUCUUCUUAAGAUCAGUCUAAGCCCUUCUUGAACUUAACUUCACCCAUGAUAGAUACUUCAAGACUCUCCUGAAGCUUUGUAGAACUCUUCCGGAGAUCACCUGAAGCUUGCCCUAUUUAUGCACAAGCUCCAUUCUUCUCUUCAGUUCAACACUCCCCCUCAAGCUUGACUUUAGGAGAUCCUAAGCCAAGCUUGGAACUCUGAAGAGUCUCCCUCAUUAAAAACCUUACAAGGAAAACCCAUUGGGACAAAACCUUGCAAGGGAAAAAGAGUAGAGCUCUCCAAAGCCUAGGGAUUGGCCAGUGAGCUCUUGUGCCUUAGAACCAGUGUGGUUGGACACAAGAAGCUCUGGAUCACGGCCUACUAGGUGCAGCAACUCUUCACAGCUUUGCGCACACUUCACACUUCAGCUUCACCUCUCCAUGGAACCGGUUUGAAGUCUCCCCCUCUCAACUGACUUCACAGCCAUCCUAGAGAAGCUAGGACACAACCAGAUCAUCUUCAAAACACCAGUGAGGCUGAUCAACACUUCACACACGGCUUGCCCUCUUUAUAGAACUGGUUUGGAUAUCCCCUUCUCAACAGACUUCACAGCCACCUUAGAGAAGCUAGGAAAUGACCAGGAACACCUUUAGUGAGGCUCAAGCAAUGGUACCUGAUACAUUAUCCCAAAGGUGCAUCAGAACCUAUCAAAAACAAGACAAUGAAUAUCCUGCAUCACACUUGAUGCACACAAUCCCAUAAUUCAAUCAUGAGCAUCUUAAGUAUCUUUUCAAGCACAAGCAAUGAAUAAGAUGAAUGAAAAAGAUUGAAGAAAGAGUUUAAAAGUCUAAGGGAACUUCCCUUGUGUUUUUGUGAGUUUCCUAACUCGGCCAAUGCACCAUCUUCAUGGCAUCAUCAACUUCUUGGAAAGGCAGAAUGGAUUCAUCAGCUUCUCCUCAAUCACCUCUCAUUGAAGCCGCAUUGAUGGAGAGCCUUCUUCCUCACUCGCCAAGACUGCUCUGAACAGCCUCUUACCUAGACACGCCACUGACUUGGUCCGGUUGAUGAUCCUUUGUAGAAGCCUUUGCAAAGACUUGUUACUGACCAUGGAUCAUAUGCAUUAAGACUCCCCCUCAAGCUUAGAACCGAGACUAGAAGGAGCUAAGCUUGUGAUGAUCCUAUGCAUCUCCAUGGUCUAAUAACUAUCAUCUUUUAUGAUAGCUUUCUUCUUGUGAGUUUACUCUCUUCCUUAACCAGGAACUAGGGUGUUUGAAUCACCAUAGAGAGCCUCACAAGACACACUUCUCAUUGCAUAAUGACCCAUGCUACACUUCCUGUAGACUUUGGACUGGAUAUUUCCAAUGGUAUUAUGCAAUGGCCAUCUCUCAUUGCAUAAUCAAUCACACUACACUUCCUGUAGAUUAUGGACUAACAUGUCCUAGUGAUGAUAUGCAAUGGCACUAGACCUUUGUCUCUACAUUCUUGGCUGUUGGCGAGUUACAUGUAUCACUCCUUGUGUACCUAACACCACCACAACUCAAUGCAAGAUCAGAUCAUUCCAUUGGGAUCAACCCAAGAUCAUCCAUCCUGUUUGAUCACCAAUGCCACAAUAAUAUAUGAUACUUGAAACAAGCUAGACAAUCAAGACAAGAAUAUGCAAAGACAAUGUAUGCUUUCAACAAUACACUGAUCCCUUUAGAUUCAAUUUAGUUUCAGUUAUUAUUUUUUUUUUAAAUGCAACAAUAGAUGAACGCAUUAGAUUACACACUAACCAUAUGAAUGAACCAGAUUCAAUUCAAAUGAACACAAGACUAGAUGGUACUUAUGCAAUCAAGACAAUAAGCGUGACUAUGAUUCAAGUAGCUUAUGCUUAUGCUCACUAGUUUUAUCACAGCCAAUGAUUCAAGUAGCUUAGACAUACUUCUAAAUGCUUAUAAGACAUCACUGAUGGAUUUAACUAUGGCAUAACAACACUCAGAACUGGACAGAGUCAAGACAAGUAGAUUUCAAUCUCUAACAAUGACAAUGCAAGUUCUAGAUACUACAAUGACAUCCUAGGUUAUUAUGAUUAUUAAGUUCUCUAAAUGCAAUGCAAGCUUACAUCAGUACAUUUGCAAUUUAGGCUCAUUUUUAAAUGCAUUACUACAUGAAUGCACAAUCUUAAAACAUCAGCUAUAUGAAUGCAACAGGUUCAAUCCAUGAUUAAUAUUAAAGUUAUGCACAACAGUUUCAAUCAGAACCAAUGAUGCAAGCAACUUAGACAAUUUCUAAUUGAUGCAAGACUUUCAUUGAUGGAUUAAACAUAGACAAUAGCAUCAGAUAACACUAGGAUUGAACUUAGACAGUAUGAGAUAUGCAAAAUAACUUAUCAAUCAUGAUGCAAGUAGCAGAGACAUUCUACUCAAUUCUACAACACAUUCAUGAUGAUUCAAGUUUAAGACCACACCCAAGACAAUGCAAUAAACAGACCGUGAGUUUCUGGGACUCUAGACAUUACUUAUUAUCAAUAAGACAAUGCAGUAACAACACAAUUUCAGUGCAAUUAGCCUAGACAUUCUACUAGAAGCUAUAAACUCUUAAUGGAAUUAGGGAAAGCACAUAGUAUAAUCAGGAGAUAAAACUAUCAAGACAUAUUAAGGUAGAUGAGAUUAGGUUUACUCCCUUGGUUAAGAUGAUGAGGAGUGGUUCUCAACGUUACCACUUGAAUCCUUACUUCUUCUUCUUCUUCUCUUAUUGCAAUCACCCUUCUGAAUUCACCACCAUGAUGGAAUGCUUGUGGAUGCUUCAGCUACUUCUUCAAUCACCUCACAAUAGAAGCCGCCUUGAUAGAGUAGCCUUCUUCUUCACACAGCCAAGAGUGCUCUGUCUUAGUUUGAGCACCCUCUUGAAUAGGCACGCCACUGCCUAGACCCGGUUGGCUUCUUCUUCUGGUACUUGCAAUGUUGAGAAGAAGAACACUAGUGAGUUUUACAACCAUCUGUGCUUCUCCCUUCUUGUAACACCUCUCCAUUGUACACACAAUGGGCAUCUUCUUUCUCUUUCAACUUGGAUUUGAUGAUGAACUAGGAACACCUUUUGUGAACCUGAAACAUCACUCAAACUCUAGCAAAGAUAAGACACAAUUGCAUUGGGAUCAAUCCUUGACUUCAUCAAGUUUGAUCACCAAUGUCUCAAGCUUUAUAACAUUAGAUAGAAUCAAGACAAUGUCAAGUUCUUAUCUAUGCAAGCAACCAUUCUCUAAAUACUAAACAAGACCUUAUCAGAUUCAAGUCAAGUUACUUAGGCACUCUUAAGAGCUUCUUUACUCAGUACUUAGACAUGAAUCUAAUACUUCAAUGUAAGACAGCCACAAGACUAUAUGCAACAGCUUUAAAUUCGGUUUCACUCCAUGUAUGCAAGCAGAUUUAAUUAAUCACAACAAGCAUCACUAUGAACCGGAGCUAAGCAUACUAAACAAUUUCAAUACCCAAACAAGACUCUUAAAGUAUCCUGGGACAGAUUCUAAAGCAACUUCAUUUUAGCAAUAUUUUAAACAAUCCUCAGGUUUCCAAUAACAUCACAACAAAACAACCUGUUCAUACACUCAAGCUUUAUACAAGAGAAAGAGAUUUCCUUACAGCCAAGGAACUAGUGUUAGUUCCUUGAAACUCCAUAGAACAUGGCAAGACAGUGAGCUGUUGGUGUCGAUUCCAACUUCUCCUUCUCCCAUGGACCUUUCUCUUGAACUUUCCAUGUCAGUUUUCAGAGUACCAGUACUUGAGUGAUGUAAGAACAGAUGAGAGAUUGUUGUGUGAUGAAGUAUGAAGAAUAGAAAUGAGUUUAAGAGAAUCAAAGAGAGUAUGGGAGAGACUGAGAACGUGUAUGGGAGAUUAGAGAGAGACUUAGUAACCAGAGAAUAAGAUCCAAGAACAAGUUUAUGAAGAAGAGAGACUCUCUCAGCUUAAGGGUUUACAAAGUGAUCAUAAGAGGCUUAUAUAUGCCUUUACACAACUCAGAUCACAAACCUAGAUCCUAAGGCUGUAAAUACAAGAUAGAAUGGAUGGUAAGGAUGAGAGAAGACUGGUCUUGAUGUUCUGGUUCUUAGCUGGCGACUUGAUCCAAUGUAAAGGGCUCAGAUUGCUUCAUUUGAAUUGAAUGGAUAGGAUGAGUCAAGGCUGUAAAGGUAAAGCACCUUUACCUUUCCAGCUCAUACCAACAGCUCACCUUAUCCAUUUGAAUCUUCCCUUGCCUCCAAGAGUCUCCAACGGUCACAUGAUUCAACCUAAGUCGCGCCCACACAUUGCACAACUUGGGCAAGGCUGAUCCGGGUGAUGACCGAACCAGAUAGGAUGUACGGACGCUGUACGGCCUUGAGGUCCGUACACUCGCCCUAUGCCUUCAUCCAACUUCCUUCUAAGGUUGACCCUUACAACGCCCUAUCUUUGCACCAUACAUCCAUCUUCUCUCUAACUCCUCCAAAGCCUUCACAUGAUCAGUAUAAGUCUUUCCUAGACUUAACUUCACAAGAUAACUACUUCAGAACACUUCUGAAGCUUGAUUGAACUCUUCUAGACAUCUUCUAGAGCUUGCCCUAUUAUUGUACAAGCUCCAUCUUCUCUUCAGUUCAACACUCCCCCUCAAGCUUAACUUUAGUUGAUCCUAAGUUAAGCUUGGAACUCUGAAGAGUCUCCCUCAUUAAAAACCUUACAAGGAAAACCCAUUGGGACAAAACCUUGCAAGGGAAAAAGAGUAGAGCUCUCCAAAGCCUAGGGAUUAGCCAGUGAGCUCUUGUGCCUUAGAACCAGUGUGGUUGGACACAAGAAGCUCUGGAUCAUGGCCUACUAGGUGCAGCAACUCUUCAGAGCUUUGCGCACACUUCACACUUCAGCUUCACCUCUUCAUGGAACCGGUUUGAAGUCUCCCCCUCUCAACUGACUUCACAGCCAUCCUAGAGAAGCUAGGACGCAACCAGAUCAUCUUCAAAACACCAGUGAGGCUGAUCAACAAUUCACACGGCUUGCCCUCUUUAUAUAACUGGUUUGGAUAUCCCCUUCUCAACAGACUUCACAGCCACCUUAGAGAAGCUAGGAAAUGACCAGGAACACCUUUAGUGAGGCUCAAGCAAUGAUACCUGAUACAUUAUCCCAAAGGUGCAUCAGUACCUAUCAAAACCAAGAAAAUGAAUAUCCUGCAUCACACUUGAUGCACACAAUCUCACAAUUCAAUCAUAAUCAUUUUAAGUAUCUUUUCACGCACAAUCAAUGAAUAAGAUGAAUGAAGAAUAUUUGAAGAAAGAGUAUAAAAGUCUAAGGGAACUUCCCUUGUGUUUUUGUGAGUUUCCUAACUUGGCCAAUGCACUAUCUUCAUGGCAUCAUCAACUUCUUGGAAAGGCAGAAUGGAUUCAUCAGCUUCUCCUCAAUCACCUCUCAUUGAAGCCGCAUUGAUGGAGAGCCUUCUUCCUUACUUGCCAAGACUGCUCUGAACAGCCUCUUGCCUAGUCACGCCACUGACUUGGUCCGGUUGAUGAUCCUUUGUAGAAACCUAAUGCAAAGGACUGCUCUGAACAGCCUCUUGCCUAGUCACGCCACUGACUUGGUCCGGUUGAUGAUCCUUUGUAGAAACCUGAUGCAAAGACUUGUUAUUGACCAUGGAUCAUAUGCAUUAAGACUCCCCCUCAAGCUUAGAACCGAGACUAGAAGGAGCUAAGCUUGUGAUGAUCCUAUGCAUCUCCAUGGUCUAAUAACUAUCAUCUUUCAUGAUAGCUUUCUUCUUGUGAGUUUACUCUCUUCCUUAACCAGGAACUAGGGUGUUUGAAUCACCAUAGAGAGUCUCACAAGACACACCUCUCAUUGCAUAAUGACCCAUGCUACACUUCCUGUAGACUAAGGACUAGAUAUGUCCAAUGGUAUUAUGCAAUGGCCAUCUCUCAUCACAUACUUAAUCACACUACACUUCCUGUAGAUUAUGGACUAACAUGUCCUAGUGAUGAUAUGCAAUGGCCCAAGACCUUUGACUUUACAUUCUUGGUUGUUGGCUGAGUUACAUGUAUCACAUUCCUUGUGUACCUAACACCACCACAACUCAAUGCAAGAUCAGAUCAUCCCAUUGGGAUCAAACCAAGAUCAUUCAUCCUGUUUGACCACCAAUGCCACAAUAAUAUAUGAUACUUGAAACAAGCUAGACAAUCAAGACAAGAAUAUGCAAAGACCAUGUAUGCUUUCAACAAUACACUGAUCCCUUUAGGUUCAAUUCAGUUUUUUUUUUUUUAAAUGCAACAAUAGAUGAAUACAUUAGAUUACACACUAACCAUAAGAAUGAAACAGAUUCAAUCCAAAUGAACACAAGACUAGAUGAUACUUAUGUUGAGAUGAGAAGUCUUGAGAGGUUAAGUGUGGAUGGAGAAGAAGGAGCUUAGGAGGAAUGGAUAGGUUUGGGUAAGGUGUCCGUACAAGGCAAGGCCGUACAAGGCCGUACCACUUGGCCGUACACACUUACCUCAGCUGCGGUUAAGUCAAGAGUUACUUGGGUGACUUACCAUGAUAAGAAGAAGCACUGAUCACUCACCUGAAGGAUCAGACCGUUACCAAAGGAAGAAGGAGCGUGUGACAGCCUGUCUUGAGCUGGAAAGAAGUGUUGAACUGAAGAGAAGAAUGGAGCUUGUGCAUAAAUAGGGCAAGCUUCAGGUGAUCUCCGGAAGAGUUCUACAAAGCUUCAGGAGAGUCUUGAAGUAUCUAUUGUUGAACUGAAGAGAAGAUAGAAGGUGUUGGAAGAGUUUGGGAGAAGGUGGCCGAUGGUACAAAGAUAGGGCAAGACCUUCAGGAGUGUCCCUUGGUAUCCAGAAGUGAUCUGAUGGUUGUGCAAAGAUAGGGCCAAGUCUAGGAAGGACUUAGAAGCAUAUAGUUGAGGAGAAUGGUCGAGUGUGAAAACUUAGGGCGAGGCCGUACGGAACGUACGGACCUGACCGAUCCGGAAGUUCAAGACUCGACCAUCUGAGUCUAUUUGGAGUUGGUGCAAAAAUAGGGCAAAGGAUAGCUCUUAAGAGAAGAAGACAAAAGAGGCUCUUAAGAGAAGAAGACAAAAGAAGAAGCUGGCGCCAAGACAGGCUGUCUAUGAGCUGUGUGAGCUGUAAAGAAGAAGCUAUAGUGACCUUGUAUCUGAACAGAUACAAGGGCAGGUUCAUGGGAGCCUUUAGCCAGCCAAUAAGGAGCCAGCAUUCCCUUUGACCAGAUUUGAAUUAACCAACCAGGCACCAAAGAGAGUUUAACCAAUCAGAUGAGGCUAUAAUGACCAGAUCAACUCUCCAUCUCGUCCCUCCAUCCUUCUAGUCUUUUAUGAGCCAUUAGAUGUAGGUUUUAAGUUUAUGGAAUGUAAAGAGCAUAUAUAAGCCUCUUAUGAUCAUUUUGUAAUCUUUAAGUGAGUAAGGGGGGAAACCCUUCUCCUUCAUGUUCUAUGAAAGUCUGUUCUUGAUACUAAAUCUCUAAUCUAUUCUCUAAGUCUCUCAGUCUCUUUAAUCUUGUUACCUAGUCUCUCUCAUACUCUAAAUCUCUCCCCAUACUCCUAAGUCUCAAAUCUGCUCACAUAAACUCUCCUAAACACUUUCUCACACACACCUUGAGUUAAUCCUAUAAAAAUCUCAUGGUAUCAGAGCCAGGUUCAUCAGAACCUGGUAUCUAACUUCCGCAAAGCUCAAGCCCACCUCCAUGGUUGUUUGAAGCAAAGAAGAAGCUCUUUAGUCCAGCCAACGUUUGUUCAUUUUCAGGAGGAAGAUAAACACAUCCAUAAACUCUCCUAAACACUUUCUCACACACACCUUGAGUUAAUCCUAUAAAAAUCUCAUGGUAUCAGAGCCAGGUUCAUCAGAACCUGGUAUCUAACUUCCGCAAAGCUCAAGCCCACCUCCAUGGUUGUUUGAAGCAAAGAAGAAGCUCUUUAGUCCAGCCAACGUUUGUUCAUCUUCAGGAGGAAGAUAAACACAUCUGAGGUGCUUGAGAAGCUGUAUGUGCUCUAUCCUGACUUAUCAAGCUCGACCUGAAGAAAGGAGACCCUGAAGAACAAAGCCUUGAAGCUGUUUGACAACACUCUUCAAGAGCUAGAUCCUUGAGUCUUAGUGGUGGUUCAAGAAGAAAGGUGAUAGCUUUCUACUUGGGACUGGUUUGGCGACUUGAAAGGGAGGAAAUGAGGUGUCUCAGCCAUGGUGGGGUCAAGAGGAUGGUUCAUGAAAGAAGAAGGGGUGUGAUACGACACCAAGAGCUCAACAUCUGGCCAUGAACCAUGGAGAUUCAAGGAACUAGUAAAAGUUCCUUGGCUGUAAGCUGGAUCUCUUUCCCUCUUUAUUAAAAAGCUUGAGUAUAGAAAUGUUGAGGUGGUGUGGUGAUUGAUGUUCUGUGUAUAUCCCAGGAUGCUUCAAAGGCUUGAUUAGUGUUUUGAAGAAUAAAGUGAUUGCUCUAGUUCAGUCAUGAGUUUGCUAAGAUAUUAAAACUUAUUGUUUGAAUCCUGUGCUCAUGAACUGAAAAUUGAUUGAAGUAAUGCUGAGAACUGUGUAGUCCUGGAUAUAAUGAUGCUUGUCAGGGAGUUAGUAGACGUCUAAACCUGAUUGCUUUUCAUGAAAUGAAUCCGCUGGCUGUCUGACAUUGAAGCAUUAGAUUCAUGUCUAAAUGCUGAGUAAAGAAGCUCUUAAGAGUGCCUAAGUAACUUGUCUUGAAUCUGUUAGGAUCCUGCUUGUACUUAGAGAGUUAGCUUGCAAAGAAUAGAACUUGAAGAAUGCCUUGUGUCUAUCUGUUGCAUUGCUUGUGAUAGUAGGAAUCAAACUUGAUAAGUUGUUAAUCAAGAUUUGACAUCAGUACUAUUGAAAAUGGUUAAAUGCUUAAUGUCAGUUCUAAAUAAACAUGUCUUGUUAAAGAUGAUAGAUUAUAUUAUCUAAUCAUGCUUGCCUUCAUGAGUUAGAAACUGAGUAAGAUUAAUGCAUACUGCCUCUGUUUAUUGUUGCAUUUAGAUUAAAGUCUAAGUUGCAUAUUAAGGAAUGGUUAAAAUUGCCUAAAUACUUUGACUUGAAUCUGAUAAGGUCUUGCUUAGUAUUUAGAGAAUGGUUGCUUUCAUAGAUAAGAACUUGACAUUGUCUUGAUUCUAUCUAAUGCUAUAAAGCUUGAGACAUUGGUGAUCAAACUUGAUGAAGUCAAGGAUUGAUCCCAAUGCAAUUGUGUCUUAUCUUUGCUAGAGUUUGAGUGAUGUUUCAGGUUCACAAAAGGUGUUCCUAGUUCAUCAUCAAAUCCAAGUUGAAAGAGAAAGAAUGAUGCCCAUUGUGUGUACAAUGGAGAGGUGUUACAAGAAGGGAGAAGCACAGAUGGUUGUAAAACUCACUAGUGUUCUUCUUCUCAACAUUGCAAGUACCAGAAGAAGAAGCCAACCGGGUCUAGGCAGUGGCGUGCCUAUUCAAGAGGGUGCUCAAACUAAGACAGAGCACUCUUGGCUGUGUGAAGAAGAAGGCUACUCUAUCAAGGCGGCUUCUAUUGUGAGGUGAUUGAAGAAGUAGCUGAAGCAUCCACAAGCAUUCCAUCAUGGUGGUGAAUUCAGAAGGGUGAUUGCAAUAAGAGAAGAAGAAGAAGAAGUAAGGAUUCAAGUGGUAACGUUGAGAACCACUCCUCAUCAUCUUAACCAAGGGAGUAAACCUAAUCUCAUCUACCUUAAUAUGUCUUGAUAGGUUUAUCUCCUGAUUAUACUAUGUGCUUUCCCUAAUUCCAUUAAGAGUUUAUAGCUUCUAGUAGAAUGUCUAGGCUAAUUGCACUGAAAUUGUGUUGCUACAGCAUUGUCUUAUUGAUAAUAAGUAAUGUCUAGAGUCCCAGAAACUCAUGGUCUGUUUAUUGCAUUGUCUUGGGUGUGGUCUUAAACUUGAAUCAUCAUGAAUGUGUUGUAGAAUUGAGUAGAAUGUCUCUGCUACUUGCAUCAUGAUUGAUAAGUUAUUUUGCAUACAUAAGCAUAUCUCAUACUGUCUAAGUUCAAUCCUAGUGUUAUCUGAUGCUACUGUCUAUGUUUAAUCCAUCAAUGAAAGUCUUGCAUCAAUUAGAAAUUGUCUAAGUUGCUUGCAUCAUUGGUUCUGAUUGAAACUGUUGUGCAUAACUUUAAUAUUAAUCAUGGAUUGAACCUGUUGCAUUCAUAUAGCUGAUGUUUUAAGAUUGUGCAUUCAUGUAGUAAUGCAUUUAAAAAUGAGCCUAAAUUGCAAAUGUACUGAUGUAAGCUUGCAUUGCAUUUAGAGAACUUAAUAAUCAUAAUAACCUAGGAUGUCAUUGUAGUAUCUAGAACUUGCAUUGUCAUUGUUAGAGAUUGAAAUCUACUUGUCUUGACUCUGUCCAGUUCUGAGUGUUGCUAUGCCAUAGUUAAAUCCAUCAGUGAUGUCUUAUAAGCAUUUAGAAGUAUGUCUAAGCUACUUGAAUCAUUGGCUGUGAUAAAACUAGUGAGCAUAAGCAUAAGCUACUUGAAUCAUAGUCACGCUUAUUGUCUUGAUUGCAUAAGUACCAUCUAGUCUUGUGUUCAUUUGAAUUGAAUCUGGUUCAUUCAUAUGGUUAGUGUGUAAUCUAAUGCAUUCAUCUAUUGUUGCAUUUAAAAAAAAAAAUAUAAUAACUGAAACUAAAUUGAAUCUAAAGGGAUCAGUGUAUUGUUGAAAGCAUACAUUGUCUUUGCAUUUUCUUGUCUUGAUUGUCUAGCUUGUUUCAAGUAUCAUAUAUUAUUGUGGCAUUGGUGAUCAAACAGGAUGGAUGAUCUUGGUUUGAUCCCAAUGGAAUGAUCUGAUCUUGCAUUGAGUUGUGGUGGUGUUAGGUACACAAGGAAGGUGAUACAUGUAACUCGCCAACAACCAAGAAUGUAAAGACAAAGGUCUUGUGCCAUUGCAUAUCAUCACUAGGACAUGUUAGUCGAUAAACUACAGGAAGUGUAGUGUGAUAGAAUAUGCAAUGAGAGAUGGCCAUUGCAUAAUACCAUUGGACAUAUCUAGUCCUUAGUCUACAGGAAGUGUAGCAUGGGUCAUUAUGCAAUGAGAGGUGUGUCUUGUGAGACUCUCUAUGGUGAUUCAAACACCCUAGUUCCUGGUUAAGGAAGAGAGUAAACUCACAAGAAGAAAGCUAUCAUGAAAGAUGAUAGUUAUUAGACCAUGGAGAUGCAUAGGAUCAUCACAAGCUUAGCUCCUUAUAGUCUCGGUUCUAAGCUUGAGGGGGAGUCUUAAUGCAUAUGAUCCAUGGUCAGUAACAAGUCUUUGCAAAGGCUUCUACAAAGGAUCAUCAACCGGACCAAGUCAGUGGCGUGUCUAGGUAAAAGGCUGUUCAGAGCAGUCUUGGCGAGUGAGGAAGAAGGCUCUCCAUCAAUGCGGCUUCAAUGAGAGGUGAUAGAGGAGAAACUGAUGAAUCCAUUCUGCCUUUCCAAGAAGUUGAUGAUGCCAUGAAGAUGGUGCAUUGGCCGAGUUAGGAAACUCACAAAAACACAAGGGAAGUUCCCUUAGACUUUUAAACUCUUUCUUCAAUCUUUUUCAUUCAUCUUAUUCAUUGCUUGUGCUUGAAAAGAUACUUAAGAUGCUCAUGAUUGAAUUAUGGGAUUGUGUGCAUCAAGUGUGAUGCAGGAUAUUCAUUGUCUUGUUUUUGAUAGGUUCUGAUGCACCUUUGGGAUAAUGUAUCAGGUACCAUUGCUUGAGCCUCACUAAAGGUGUUCCUGGUCAUUUCCUAGCUUCUCUAAGGUGGCUGUGAAGUCUGUUGAGAAGGGGAUAUCCAAACCAGUUCUAUAAAGAGGGCAAGCCGUGUGUGAAGUGUUGAUCAGCCUCACUGGUGUUUUGAAGAUGAUCUGGUUGUGUCCUAGCUUCUCUAGGAUGGCUGUGAAGUCAGUUGAGAGGGGGAGACUUCAAACCGGUUCCAUGGAGAGGUGAAGCUGAAGUGUGAAGUGUGCGCAAAGCUGUGAAGAGUUGCUGCACCUAGUAGGCCGUGAUCCAGAGCUUCUUGUGUCCAACCACACUGGUUCUAAGGCACAAGAGCUCACUGGCCAAUCCCUAGGCUUUGGAGAGCUCUACUCUUUUUCCCUUGCAAGGUUUUGUCCCAAUGGGUUUUCCUUGUAAGGUUUUUAAUGAGGGAGACUCUUCAGAGUUCCAAGCUUGGCUUAGGAUCUCCUAAAGUCAAGCUUGAGGGGGAGUGUUGAACUGAAGAGAAGAAUGGAGCUUGUGCAUAAAUAGGGCAAGCUUCAGGUGAUCUCCGGAAGAGUUCUACAAAGCUUCAGGAGAGUCUUGAAGUAUCUAUCAUGGGUGAAGUUAAGUUCAAGAAGGGCUUAGACUGAUCUUAAGAAGACAUGGAAGAAGUAUGGAGGUGAAUGGUUGAACGUGCAAAGUUAGGGCGAGGCCGGUACGGAUGGCCGUACGGAUGGUACGGCCCGUACGGACAUGAUCGACUCAAAACUUAUGUACUCGGCCAUUUGAAGCUAUUUGAGGGCUGUGCAAAUAUAGGGCAUUGGUGUACGGUUAUGGCAAGUCCGUACAGCCAAGGAGAAGCUCUAAUAUGAAUGUGCAAAGUCCGGGAUGGUGAGAAGCAUCAAAUGGAACAAGAAGAUGCUUUGGAGGCAAGAAGAUUCAAAUAAGAGUUGGCGCCAGUCUGUGGGUUAUGGGAUUGGUUGUAGUGGUCUAAGGACAGGCUGUAAAGAGCUGUAAAGGAAGAGCAAGGCUUGACCAAGUAUCUGGCCAAAGAAGAGGGCAGAUACAUAAGGCUGUGUGGAGCAUUUCUAGCCUUGCCUUCCCACAUCCAAUCAGGCGACAACAACAAGCUGCAAAGACCACAAGACUGAAUCAAGAUCGUCCAAUUCAAAUCAGAGCAUCUCCACCCUUCAUGUCUUAUCUAUUACUUUAGGGUUUCAUGAGUUUGUAACCUGUUUCUAUAUAAAGACCCCAUUAGGGCGAAUUGUAAGCCUUAAGUGAGUAAGGGGGGAAACCCUUCUCCUUCAUGUUCUAUGAAAGUCUGUUCUUGAUACUAAGUCUCUAAUCUAUUCUCUAAGUCUCUCAGUCUCUUUAAUCUUGUUACCUAGUCUCUCUCAUACUCUAAAUCUCUCCCCAUACUCCUAAGUCUCAAAUCUGUUCACAUAAACUCUCCUAAACACUUUCUCACACACACCUUGAGUUAAUCCUAUAAAAAUCUCAAGUAUGUCACCAGUGCCUUGCCAUCACCCUCACGCCCCUCUCCUUCAGCUCCACGGCUAGAUGAUCCGGCUCCACUUGUUCCAUCAGAAGCAUGAGCUCUUGCCUCCCUUUCCUUCAUGAACUUUGCCGGCUUCAGAUGAGGAUGUAGUAUCCAGCACUGGCUCUUCUUGUGUCCAUGCUUCUUGCAGUGAUCACAAUUGCCAUUGAACUUCCUAUCCUCAUACUUGCCGUGUGCUGCUUUGUUGGCUUGUGGUAUCUCCUCAUGAUCAGUUCGCGCAGCAUUGGCUAGAGACAAGUCUCCUUUACCACCAAACAAGCCAAUGGAGCCUUGCUCCUUUUGUAUUUGAGCACACGCAUCCUCCAGGUCCGGAAGCUUCUCAGCCCUCAACAUAUGCUGAAUCAACCCACUGUAGCUUGGAUUCAAUGUAAGCAACAACCCAAAGACCUUAUCUUGCUCUCUCCUUUCAUUUAGCAGCUCUGGAUCAGUUGUGCUCGGCCUCAGCAUCUCCAGCUCUGACCAGAGUGUCCGGAACCUCCCCAAAUGCCUAGUGAACUCCAUGUCCUCCUGAGUUAGAUCAUUCAAAGCUUUCUUCACUUCAAAGACCCGGCUGAGGUUAGAGGUGUUUCCAUAUACCUUCUUCAAUGUUUCCCACAGCUCCUUGGCUGUCUCACAAUAGCUGUAAGCAUCUAGAAUGGCUGGCUCCAACGAGCUAUGAAGAGCAGACAUCACCAUCAUGUCCUCUUGUUGCCACUUCUCAGCUUCAGCUUCCGAGACACUCUCCUUGUCUCCUCCUUGAGUAAUGAGCUUUGGAGCCUCACCAGAUGUGAUAUGCUUCCAUAAACCCUUACUUCCCACAGCAGUCUUCACCAUCCUAGACCAUACUAGGUAGUUACUGCCCUUGAAAGUCACAGCAACCUUCAUCUUGGAACCACUCUCCAUCUUCAACAGUUUCACUUCAAUAACUUGUAAAAGACUUGAUCUUGAGACUCAGAACUACAACACCAGCUCAAACCCUUCCGUGCCUUGUCUUUACUCUUCAAAGAACCCUAAAAAAAGCUAGAGAAGACUUCCGGAAUGAAGAUGUAGCUCCCGGGAUGCAGCUUCUUCCAAGAACACUCACACCACUCUCACUUGAUCUCUCAAGGUUUCAAGUUUGAAUCUUCAAGAGAAAAACGCCAAGAACUCAGAUUGAAAUCAACCUGGCUCUGAUACCAUAUCAGUUUUGAGUAAAGUAAAAGAUAAUCUGAGUUUAGAUAAGAAUAGAGAAGAGAUUAGAGUAGAUUUGAGAGAUUAAGAGACUAAUGGAGAAUCAUUGUGAAAGGUUUAGAAAGAUUGAUUUGUUUAGGACUGUCUAAUUUUUUAUUAAUGAGAGAGUUUACAAUAUAUAGACUUUAGAUCCUAGGGCUUCAUAAGGAUAAGGUAGAACAAGCAUGUGUAGUCAAAGAAGAGAGGCGCGCCUAAUUCAAACUGAACCAAUGAGGAGCUCCACAUGUGUGACCGGAUGGAUAAGGUUUGCUUUCCCUUUACAGCUCGCAUCCAGCCUGUCAAGCCGCGUCCCUUAUCCUAUCUUCAACGGUCUGCUCAGUUACUCCCAAAGGUUAACUCCUUCUAAGUUACCUUUCACCUCAAGGUAGAGUAACUUCCCAUUUGGCUGUGUCAUACUCGUACGGACAGUACGGCCAGUGUACGGCCUGUACGGUCUUGUCUCGGCCUAACUCCUCUUAAUGCCUUCUUCUCCUCAUCCCUUCUUCCCAAGGUUUCCUAAGCCUUCAUAGUUUAACUCCUCAUCUCAACAUUAAUGAGAGCAUCAAGGUCGGAUCUCCUUAGAUACUCUUGAUCAUUGUUCCCACGGUUGCUUGGUGCUCCAGUGUAGGCUACAAGAGACUUCUCAUCACCUGCCUCACGCCCAUCUAUCCCCUUUCCUUUGCUUGUACCCGCACCACUUGUACCAUCCGAGACAUUAGCCCUUGCCUCACGAUCCUUCAUGAACUUAGCCGGCUUGAGAUGAGGGUGGAGUAUCCAGCAUUGGCUCUUCUUGUGGCCAUGCUUCUUGCAGUGAUCACAACUCCCAUUGAACCUCCUCUCCUCAAACUUCCCAUGCGCAGCCUUGUUUGCUUGUGGAGCUUCACUCCCCUCCUCUUGAGUUGCUUGACUUGCAAGGGAAAGGUCUCCUUUCUUUCCAAACAGCCCAAUGGAGCCUUGCUCCUUCUGAAUCCGCGCACACACAUCCUCAAGGUCAGGCAAAGUAUCCUCCCUAAGUAGGUGCUGGAUGAGACCGUUGUACGCCGGGUUUAGGGUGAGGAGUAACCCAAAGACCUUAUCUUGCUCUCAUCAGCAUCCGUUGUGCUUGGCCUAAGCAUCUCCAUCUCGGACCAGAGGCUUCUGAAUCUUCCUAGAUGCUUAGUGAACUCCAUGUCUUCUUGUACAAGGUUGUUGAUAGGUUGCUUCACCUCAAACACUCGGCUUAGGUUUGAAGUGUUGCCAUACACUUUCUUCAAAGUGUCCCACAGCUCUUUAGCAGACUCACAGUAGCUGUAUGCAUCCAGAAUGGCCGGCUCAAGGGACGCAUGAAGCACAGACAUCACCAACAUGUCCUCUUGAUGCCACUUCUCUUCUGCCUUGCUUGCGGCUUCAUCUUCAGCUUCUCCUAGAGUGAUGAGCUUUGGAGCUUCUCCUGGCGUGAUGUGCUUCCAAAGCCCCUUGCUUCCCACUGUGGUUCUCACCAUCCGAGACCACACCAAGUAGUUGUUUCCCUUGAAACACACCGCCACUUUCAUGUUCAUGUUCAUCCCACUCUCCAUGUUGAAUGUAGAACCCUUUUGACUUCAAUAACUUUCUCUUGAGGUAACUGUCUUGAGUGAACACUAGUAGCUUCUCCUUUUACCCACGCAGCUUCAAUAACACCUCACACAACCAAUAGAACUCAGAAAGACUACCCAGAACCGCUUAAGAACACACGAACACCAAACUGUUUCUUCAAAGCUUCAAUCUUGAAUCUUUAAAGAACCCAACGAAACCAAGUUUUCUAGUAACCUGGCUCUGAUACCAUAUCACUUUUAGGAUAGAGUAGGGUAAUCUGAGUAAAUAAGAAAGACUAGAAGUGAUUUAGAAGAGAUUUGAGUAUGAAAUGAGAUUAGGAGUCUAGCAUAGAAUCAUUGUGAGAGUAAAGACUAAGAAAGACUCAUAACUUGCUUGAUUUUUAUUAAUGAGUGAGGUUACAUAUUUAUAAGAAGGACACAAGGGUUUACAAGAGAGGAAAUGGGCACUAUUAAACCGUGUGGAGUCAAGGCCAUGGAUUCAAAUCAACCACUAGGAUGCAUCACACGCUUAUGGCAUCUUGGACUAAAGGUGCUUUAGCUUUCCAGCCUGUUCCAGCCUGGCACCGCGCAUCCCUUAUCCUUUCACCGGUCUUAUCUUCUCCACUAAGCCCUCAAGGUAACAUAUGCUUGUUACCGUUUCACUUGGUCAAGGUUAGGUAACUUCUGGUCGAGGCAUCUGGUACGAACGGUACGGCCAUGUACGGCCUUGUACGGCCGUCCAUACCAUGCUUGCCCAAAGUCCCCUCAUUCUCUUCCUCCUCUUCUCUUCCACUUCUUAUCUCUUCUUGUUCAUAUCCUCAACUCAUCUCAACACACAUUGCUUCCAUCUAAAGAUAGGGUGCUAGAAGCGUUUAUGAACUUCCAAGCAUAUGUAUCUAAUCAAUACUGAAACAUCACUCAAACUCCAGCCAAGAUAAGACACAAGUGCAUUGGGUCAACCCUUGAUGCAUCAUCAAGUUUGAACACCAAUGUCAUUAAGCAAUGCAACAGAUUAAACUAGACAUUUUCAAGUUCACAUCUUUGCAAGCUCAGCUCUCUAAGUUCUAGUAUGAUCCUACAGAUUCAUUACAAGACACUUAGGCAACUCUUGACAGCUCCUUUACUCAGCUACUAGACAUUAAUCUAGUGCCUCAAUAUAAGGUAACUUCAAGACACUAUGCACUAGCUUUCAGUCGGUUUUAACUCAUGUAUGCAAGCAGAUUCACUCAAUCACAACAAGCACUACAAUGAACCGGAGCUAAGCAUUUUCAAAAACAAUCUCAAUCACCAAACAAGUCUCUUUAAGCAUCCUGGGAUAGAUUCUAAAUUCAUUUUCAUUUAGCAAUCUUUAAACAAUCCUCAGGUUUUCAAUCACAUCACAACACAACAACCAUAUUUUAUCACAAGCUCAUUAUCACUUAAGGCUUAAAGAAUCGCUUACUAUCAAGGAACCAGGUUGGUCCUUGUAUCACCCUUGGAUGGAAAGCUCAUGACUUUGAGGAUAUGUGAGUCUGGAUCGUUACCCAUCUCCUUCUCCUUCAGUUCAUGACUCCCUCCUUGUUUCUCUAACUCAAAGACCCCUCCUUUCUCCUUCUCUUCUAGGCGCCAUCUUCUUGGCAGCUUUCUUGAAGAACCGGAUGGGAAAGCUCUUGGACAAGGCACCUUGGAUGAGGUUCGCGAGGCCUCUCCAUACACCUCUGCUUCCAAUGAGUCUCUCCAUCAGUAUGGACAGGAGAAAGGAUGUGAGCCACGCCAGCUUCAGUCUUCUUCUUCAUGGAGAAACUGAACUCGGAUGGGAAAGGCUUCAAAGGUUGGAUUUGAGCUGAGAUGAGAGCAAGUGAUUUGCGGAAGCUACAGCUCAGGUUCUGAUGAACCUGGCUCUGAUACCAUGUGAGAUUUAUAGAGUUCUCUUCUCUGGUUGUGUUUGUGUGUGUAUAAACUCCAAUGGAGAAAGAUUAGAGCUUGCUCUAGGUGAUUUAGAAAGAGAUUGAUAAGAGUGUUUAUGAGAGAAUAAGAGACUUAGAACCAGAGAUUAAGAGACUGAGAGAUUAAGAGAAUAAGUGUUUAGAGAUUACAGUUUCAGAUUCAAGAACAAGUUUUCAUUUCCAUGAAGUGGAGAGGGGAAAUCCCCCUUACUCCCUUAAGGCUCCAAAUCGCCAUUACAUGCUUAUUUAUAAGCUCCAUAGGUUUACACAAUCUGAAACCUAAAUCUAAUGGAUAAUAUUAACUUGAGAGAAUGGAUGGUGUAGAUGAGAUGGUCUUCUUGUAAUAUCUGAAGAGUUGUGAGGAUAAGGUUGGCUGUUCACUUUAAUUCAAACCAAGGCAAGCUGGCUCCUUGCUUGUGAUUGGCUCUCCUUAGGCUCCUCCUAAUCUUCCCAUGCAUCUGUCCAGGUUCAUGGUCGUGGCUCCCUUCUCUUUACAGCAAGAGACAGCCUGUCCAAGACCAGAACUAGCCAAUCACACACAAGGAAGCUCCCAUUGGUUGUUUGCCUCCACAAAGCAUCUUCUUGAUGCCUUCUUGAUUCCAAACGACCAGGGCCUUCUCCCAACACCCUAAGAUUGCACAAAGCCUCCUUGACAUGUUCUGAUCACGCCCUAAGCUUGCACUUCUUGUCCCGGACUUUGCACAAUCUCAAAACAUCUCAAAUGGGCGAGUUGUGAUCUCUCGGGUCGUACCGGUCCGUACAGAUCCGUACAUGGCCGUACAGCCUCGCCCUAUCUUUGCACACUCUCCCAUUUGCUCCUCAACACUCUUCUAAGUCUCUCCUAGACUUUGACCUUGCUUAGAACAUCCAUCAGAUCACUUCUGGACACCUUUAGACUCCUCAUCACUCUUGAUAGGCAAUCUCUAAAGCUCUUGCCCUAUCUUUGUACAAGAUCCUUCUCAACUCAACACCUCUAGCUCCUCCAUUCCUUUCUUCAAGUUAACAACGCUUGGCCUUUACAGCCUGUCCACGGCCUGGAUGGAUAAGGCUCGUCCCACCCUUAUCUCUAAACGUUCUGAUCAGUCUUGAGACCUUCUAUGUACUCUAGAGGCUUUACUCAUCCAUCUCCUCCUUCCUUCAUGUUUCCUCAGAUGUACGGCCAAGCCCCUGUCCGUACAUAGGCCGUCCUGUCCGUACUCUUUCCAUCACUUGCUUAGCUCUUCCUCUCCUUCUCAUAAUGACUUCCUCAUCUCAACACACAGGUUCCUUGGUUGUAAGCUAAACCUCCUUCCCUUGUUUAAAGCUUGUGUCUUUAUGUUAUGGUUGUGUUGUGUGGUGUGGUUAAGUCCUGCGGAUUCUGUUUUGCAUCAUCUUGUUGUGAUUGCCAUAACUAAAGUGUCAUUAAUGAGUGUAGCAUCUAGUAGAAUGUCUAAGCUACUUGCAUAAUGGUACUGAAGUUGUUUUGCUGUUGCAUUGGUUAGUAUGCAGUGAGUAGUAUUUUAAAUCCCAGGAUCUCAUGUCUUGUUCAUUGCAUUGUCUUGUGUAGUGCCAUAGCUUGAAUCAUCAUGAAUGUGUUGUAGAAAUGAGUAGAAUGUCUCUGCUGCUUGCAUCAUGGUUGUAGAGCUGUUUUGCAUACAUAAGCAUGUCUCAUUGUCUCCUGGUUCAAUCCGAGUGUGUACUGGUGCUGUUGCCUGUGUUUAAUCCAUCAUUGACUGUCUUGCAUCAAUUAGAAGUUGUCUAAGUUGCUUGCCUCAUUGGUUUUGAUUAGAACUGUUGUGCAUAGCUUUAAAGUGUUCUCGGAUUGAUCAUGCAUUCAUAUAGCUAAUGCUUUACGAUUGUGCAUUCAUGUAUUGAUGCAUUUAAAACUGAGCCUAAAUUGCAAAUGUACUGAUGUUAGCUUGCAUUGCAUUUAGAGAACUUAAAAAAAAUAAAAAUUAUAUGCUUGAUUGUGCCUUGAUUGUUUGGCUGUUUCAAGUUUUAUAUAUUGUUGUGGCAUUGGUGAUCAAACAGGAUGGAUGAUCUUGGUUUGGUCCCAAUGGGAUGAUCUGAUCUUGCAUUGAGUUGUGGUGAUGUUAGGUACACAAAGAAGUGAUACAGUGACAAGCCAAACCAAAGUGUGAAGACAAAAGGUCUAGUUCCAUUGCAAAUCAUCACUGGAUGUGUUAAAUCCAUAAUCUACAGGAAGUGUAGUGUGAUUGAUUAUGCAAUGAGAGGAUGCCAUUGUAUAAUACCAUAGGACAUGUUCAGUCCACAGUCUACAGGAAGUGUAGCAUGGGUUAUUAUACAAUGAGAGCUUGUCUUGUGAGGACUCUCUAUGGUGAUUCAAACACCCUAGUUCCUGGUAUAAGGAAGAGAGCAGCUCACAAGACCAAGGCCAUCACAAAAGUCUAUGAAGACCGGUGGUCCAAAGGCCAUGAAAUUGCUUACACCUUACACAAGCUUAGCUCCUCACCUAUUCUCGGAGUUAAGCUUGAGGGGGAGUGUUAAUGAGCAAGUUUCAUGGUCCAUUAUCAAGUCUUUGCAAGGACUUCAUCAAAGGAUCAUCAACCGGGUCUAGGCAGUGGCGUGUCUAGGCAAGAGACUGUUCAGAGCAGUCUUGGCUGAGUGAGGAAGAAGGCUCUCUCUCAAUGCGGCUUCAAUGUGAGGUGGUUGAGGAGAAGCUGAUGAACCAACUCAGUCAUCCAACAAGUUGGUGUUGCCAUGAAGAGGUUGCAAUGGCCAAGAGAGAAGGGCUGCAAGGACUACAUUCAAGAGACAUCAACCGGAGUUAUUCUAGGCUGGGUGUGUAUGAAGGCUAAUAUUCAAGCUGAAGGAUCCAUACAGUCUUCCAACAAGUUGAUGUGCCCGUAGAGGUUGCAAGCCUAUGCGUAGUGUGAGGGAUUCAAGUGACAAUCCAAUCCAGCCACUCCUCACCAAAACAAAAAGGGAAGUGUCCCUUAAACUUAGUUCAAUUCAAUUCACUCAUCAUUUCAUUGUUUAAGCUUGAUAUGAUACUCAAAGUGUUUUGAUUGAAAUGUGAUGCAUUGAUGUGAUGCAAUCUUGGUUUCUUGAUAAGUACUGAUGCACCUUUGGGAUAAUGUAUCAGGUACCAUUGCUUGAGCCUCACUAAAGAUGUUCCUGGUCAUUUCCUAGCUUCUCUAAGGUGGCUGUGAAGUCUGUUGAGAGGGGGAGAUCCAAACCAGUUCUAUGAAGAGGGCAAGCAUAUUUUGAAGUCUUGCUCAGCCUCACUGAUGUUUAAAGAUGAUCCGGUCGCAUCCUUGCCUUUCUAAGAAGGCUAUGAAGCUUGUUGAGAGGGGGAGCCCCAAACCGGUUCCAUGAAGAGGUGAAGCUGAGGUGUGAAGUGUGCGCAAAGCUGUGAACUGUUGCUGCACCUAUUAGGCCGUGAUCCAGAGCUUCUUGUGUCCAACCACACUGGUUCUAAGGCACAAGAGCUCACUGGCCAAUCCCUAGGCUUUGGAGAGCUCUACUCUUUUUCCCUUGCAAGGUUUUGUCCCAAUGGGUUUUCCUUGUAAGGUUUUUAAUGAGGGAGACUCUUCAGAGUUCCAAGCUUGGCUUAGGAUCUCCUAAAGUCAAGCUUGAGGGGGAGUGUUGAACUGAAGAGAAGAUAGAGCUUGUACAAUAAUAGGGCAAGCUCUAGAAGAUGUCCAGAAGAGUUCAAUCAAGCUUCAGAGGUGUUCUGAAGUAGUUAUCUUGUGAAGUUAAGUCUAGGAAAGACUUAGACUGAUCUUAAGAAGGCUUUGGAGGAGUUUGGGAGAAGAUGGUCGAAGGUGCAAAGAUAGGGCGUCGGUACGAACCAGUACGGACAGUACGGCCUUGUACGGCCAUGGGCGAACCAAGAAGAGGAAUGGAUCGACUUAGGAAGAAGAAUGGGUGAUGUGCAUACUUAGGGCGAGUGUACGGACCGGUCAGGCCGUACAUCGACCGCACAACACCCGGGACUCGUCCAUUCAUCCGGUUCAGCCAAGUUUAAAGAUGUGCAAGGAUAGGGCGCGGCUUAUCUGAUCUUUUAUGACCGUUGGAGACCUAAGGAGAGAAAGGGAUAUUCCUCAUGAGCUGUGUGGUCCAAAGAGACAGGCUGGAAAGUAAAAAUGGCUUUACCUUUACAGCCUUAUUUCCACACUGUCUCAUCUUGGCCAUUGAUUCAAAAUGAGCCAAUCUCUCCCCUCCAUUCAAAUCAGGCGUGCCUCCCUUGCCAGCUUGCACCAGAACAUCCAAGACCAGCCUUCUCUCAUCCUAGCCAUUCAUUCUAUCUUUUAAUUACAGCCUUAGGAUAUAGGUUUAUGAUCUGAGUCAUGUAAAGGCAUAUAUAAGCCAUUUGUAUGCAUUUUGUAAACUCUAAGAGAGAGAGGGGGAUUUCCCCUCCUCCUUCAUAAUCUUAUGAUACUUUGUCUCUCUAAACUCUCUAGUCUUUGAUUCUGGUUACUUCAAUCUCGUUCUCAAUCUCUAUUCUCUCAAUCUCUCACUUAAUCUCUCAUACACACUCACCAUUCUCUUAUACUUCCAUUAAUCUCUUAUUCUCUUUCAUUGUUGAACAAGAAUCAGUCCCAACCUGUUGAGGUUGAUCCAUCACGCCCACACACAGCCUGUGCUCUGAAAAACUCACAUGGUAUCAGAGCCAGGUUCAUCAGAACUUGGUUCCAGCUUCCGCUCAAGCACAAGCUCACUCCCAUGCCAUUUCAAGCCAAGAAGAAGCUUCAUGGUCCAGCCGGCUGUUCAACCUCUUCAAGAAGAAGAUGUGCUCAUCCAUGGUGUCCAGGAGCUGUCCUUGGUCGUUCUACACUCUCUCAUGUCCGUCCUGAAGAAAGAAAGCCAUUGGAAGCAUGUCCAAGCCUUUCCUAUUCUCUGUCCAAGGA